UACAAUACAAAAAUCGUCGAAGCUUAACCAAAAAAAAAGGACUAAUAAUAAAAAGUAAUAAAAGAUAACCUCGGGCUCUUUUGCCGAUAUCGGAGUAUAGGCCGGGACCCUUCACCAUUUCCGCCGCUAAAAUUCAACGAAGAGAGCGAGAGAGAGAGAGAGAGAGAGAGAAGGGCUUGGUAAGUGGCGUUGGGUUUUUGGCUGAAAUGCGGUGUUCGACGGGGAAAAUGUGAUGGAGAGAAAAUUACUUGUGUUGGAAAAUGCCACUAAAACUCCUAACCUAAUUUAUUACGCUGAUUUUUCUUGGCCGUUGGAUCUCGCGAGGGGGCUGAUAUAAGAUUGUUAUGAGACGUCGGUUAUUUUGGCAUUUAGAAAUUGAGGGAAACGAAUUAGAGAAGGACUUUCUGGCUUUUGAGGUUGGGCUGUGAGAUUCCUUCGAAAAAUGGUUGGGCUGUGAGAGUGAAAGAGUUGCGAUUGGCACCAGUGGAAAAAAAUUUAAAAAAAACCAUGAAACAAUUGGUGAAAUUACAAUUACCCCUUGAGGUUUGUGAUAAUUACAAGGGCUUGCUAAUUGUCCAAUACUUUUUGUUGUUCAAGUUAAAAGUGUCUUUUUGGGGCUUAUUGUGAAUUGUAUAUUACAAUGGUUUUUGGGGAGGUUGGAUUGGAUAGUAAGACAAGAGAGAUUAUAAAAGGAAGGAAGAAAAAAAUAAUAUAUAUAUAUAUAUAAUGAUUUUACUAAUUUUUAAAACAACAAUUUCCACUUCCGUAUGAGUCACAGAAAGAGGAUAAUUCACAAUUAAUUAUACAUAUACCUCAUUCUACUUUUCUUUAAUUAUGUAGAAAAGAUAUUUAUCAAAGGCCAAGGAGAACAAGAAAAGGCGUCAAAUCUUGUGAAAACAACAAAAUUUUGUGAGAAUUAAAAAGUCCUUGCAAUUAUAACUGCUGUUUUGGCAAUUAAAAAUUCAGCAUCAGGAAAAAAAAAAAGAAGAAGAAGAAAAAGCUGUACUUCAUUGUCAAAUGCUAAUAUGUUGGCAACUAUGAUAAACUUGAAAGGAAUUUGCGUAAUUUAAUGAACCUCAAAAUUUUCUCAGCGGUGCGGUUUAUUUCAUCAAGUAGCUUGCUAGCCACCAAAUGCUGUGCACCUCUGGCUUCAAUGCAGACGUGAAUCAGAACGUCAUAGAAUAUGCUAUACCUGAUUUUGUCAAGCUUUGACAAUAUGCCACUAAUAACCAGCCACAUGCUUCUUUCAAACAGGGAAAAAAAAAUCAGUUUAUACUUUACAGAGAUUUUCUAGUUGGCUAGAUUUUGCAAGAAAAUAAAAGGAAGCUCAACUGAAAAAUAGUAAAGUCUGGACUGUGCACGUAUAAAUCAACAGAAGAAUCCAUCAAAAUGUUGAACAACCAUUCCGGAGUCAUUGGUCUAUAAUUUUAAAUGUCAUCUUUUCAGUCAUAAUCACCUGAAAGACCACCACCUCCAUGGGAUCAAAUACUACUCCCCCCAAAUGUUUUUGAUAAUCAGUUUCCACAUUUGGCAUCAAGGGACCUGAAUGAUCUUGAUCAAUGUUGCUCACUCCAGAGUCUAUGCAUGAUCUUGAUCGUUCUUUAGCUGUGGCCAUCCUAUGCAUUUUAUUUGUCAGCAUGCAAACCAGCAAUCACACAAGAAGUCUGCUGCAAUAUUUACGGCUAAUACUUAAUUUUAAGCGGAUUGAGAGUUCUAUAACAAGUCUUAUACACAUCCUAUAUCACACUUUCGAUCUAUUUAUGUUGCUGCUACUGGCUUCAAGCCUAAGAACGGAAGCUGCUGCGAGCGCAAAGGCAGAAGCCAAGAAGAUACACUGCCUCACAAGACACAAAUCAGAGAUGGUUUAUAAUUCAAGGCAGGAAUGGUGAGGGGCAAAGUCCACAUAAUGCGUGCAUGGCAGGAUAAUGCAUAUUAAGCCUGAUUUGGUUAUGUAAGACUUAAUUAUAUCUGUUUGUGAAGAGCUAAAAUGACAGAUUACAAUUGUACAAUGCAAGGAGGAGAGGCGUUUUGUUAUCAUAUGUCGAAUAUAUAAAAUUAUUAUGCUAAAAGUCCCUUCCUCUUCUUCUUCUUUUCCGGCAUCACCCUGCAAAAACUUAUAAGCUACAAUUCAAGAUGCACGCAUAUCCUACUUGUUUUUCACUUCUACCUUGUAUCUCCCCAGAACAUCAUAAAGGCUCCAAAUUUUCAAUCCAAAUAGAAACUAGACCUCGCUUCCUAGUGGCUGCAUGGUCAGAAGUUGUAAGCAUGGUGAUCCAUGAGUAGCAGCAGCGGUUUCACUUUGGAGGGUUUGACCAACGACCAAUCCAUAGCACCGUGACAGGACAUGCUUAUUAUGUUCUUAGUGCCAUACCAAUACAUUUGAAUCUAUCAUAGAGUGCAAUAAUUUGAAAGCUACUAACAAUUUCAUCAAUUUGUAUGUUUGGAUGGACGCAAUUUAAUUGUUCACUUUUUUUUUUCCAAAUUGAAAUGCCAAUUACCACCAAUCAGAGAGGAACCGAAAUGCCACAGCUGAAGCGGUUUCAGAUUCAAGAGUUCUAAAAUGCAAUUCCUGCAGCAGAGGUUUCAUGUCGCACAUCUGGGUCCGGAAUGGACAACCAAUAUGAAGAAGCUUAGACCAAUUGUCGCCAUCUCAUAUAAAACUUUGCUUGAAAGUUCAAUUCACCAUCACCAAGUCAAAAUAAGUCAUACCAAGCCAGACAGGUUCCGACCAGCCAAACUAUGAAUAGAUCAGAAAACCAAUUCUACCACAUAAAAAGAUUAAUUGGAUUUAGGAAACAAAGUUUCACUAGACUCUUGUUGCCCUAUUUAUUUGCUCUGCCCAUGCAAACAUUGCCGGGGUGCUACCCAAACCAAUGGUAAUCAUUUGCUUCAUGGCUUGAGAGCAACAGCCAACCCAAUCUUUGCACUUUUUUCAAUUGCCCGGGUGUCAACCUCACCUGAUAUGGUUAAGAGAGACUUCGGGCGCCACUCAUGCUGGAUAAGAGCACUUGCCUUGCCGUAGUUGUUCACGCGAGCCUUCACUGUGGUUAAUGGGUCUAAUAAAUGCUGUGUUCCGAGGGUGAGAGAAUUUUCGUUGGUUGAGAAACUGUGACUCAACUCUGCUCCAACUGCUGUAUUAGUCAAUGGGCUAACACUGUGGUAGUAGGAAGCAGUGAGGGUGUCGCCCUUAUCAUUCCUGUUUGUGUUAACAAAGAACUCAUCAACCAAGAAACUUAAAUAAUAAUAAUAAUAAUAAUAAUUAAAAAAAAAACUAUAGCCCAGCAAUCAGAUGAAAAAUUAUGAACACGCACCACCAUCAUCAGGAAGAUCUUAAAAAAACCAGAGUGUAUACAUAAAGCGUGUAAUAACUAAAGUGGUUAUAAGCAACUUAAUACCUAGUUUGGAUGUUUAGGUUAGAAAAGAAAAGAUAGGAAAUGUUAAGUUAUGAAAGAAAAGAAAAGAAUAUAAAGGAAGAGGAGAUUUUAAUGUUUUGUUUGGGAGUUUUAGAAGGAAGUAGAAUGAUUUUGGAUAUAUAUGUCAAUAAAAUUUCAUUCAAUAGUUUUGUGAGGAUAAAAUGGGCAAUUUGAAAAAGUUUUGCUUUCCACUAGCUUUUGGUCAGAAAAAAAAUUGCACUGUAGCAGAACUUGGCAUCCUUCAAAAUCCGUUCAUUUCUUUUCAUUUCUGUCUCACUUGAAAGUCCCAAACGUAGGAAAAUCCACCUCUCUCUUCCUUUCUUUUCGAUUCCGUUGGAAUCUCAACUCCCAAACUAGCUAUAAGUGACACGGCAGGUACUUCAAUUAAAAUCCAGUAAAAAGAAAGGGCACUUACAAGGUCAAUGCAGCAAUUAGGUCAGAAUUGGUAAAACUAAGACCAGCAUUGUACUUAGUGAAGUUCCCUGUGGCAGUGUCAAAAGAGACGUCAGUACCUAGAGCAAGCUUGUCAUUUCCAGCCACACCAGAGAAAUUGACAAUUGGAUUUGCAGUAAGUCCAAUGCUAGAACUAAUUCCAGCAUAUUCGUGCAAGUACUGGAGUUCCACCUGAUAACAGAAUCAGAACAAAUUUGGCAUUUCACCGGUCAGCCCUGAUCAUCAUUUUGCAAGAGAUACGGAAGAAGUACCUGUAAAAUAUAUAGUACCUUGCCAGAUCUUUGGUCUGGGACAACAAAGCUAAAGAUUGUCUUCAGACCGGGUGCAGGUUCAUCAACAGUGAUUGUUGUGAAAACCUACAUAUACAUAAGCAAGCCAAAUAUAUGCAUCACGAUAUUGCAACCACUAUGUAAGACCUCAGACCAUUCCGUAGAUAAAGAGGAAAAGGGUAGAAAAGCCUACAUUAAAUUGAUUUAAGGACAAAUUAAUCAUCACCUAGAUCUCCUUUCUUCUUUUUUGGCCCUCUUACAUGCAAAUCUUUUAACUAAGGCACUCCUUGAUUUACACAAAUAGGCUGCCAUCCUUGGUAAACAUCAAAUUGCAAGCAUCUACUUUGCAUAAUGCAAAUUUUAAUAACAUAAAGCUCUUUCAUGUUCAAACAACAUAAUAAAACCCAGAGAAGAGAUUGAACUAGCAAUAACAUGCCUCAACUGAUAAAUUUUUUGGAAGGAGAAAUAAACCACAAUAAUGGGGGACAAUCCAAACCAUGCUAAGAGCACAGGAUUCAAAAACAGCAAAUAUUAUAGUUACAUCACAACUCGAAUGCCGUAAAACCGAAUCUUGACCUAGACAACAACGACAACAGUAUAUGUUCUUUUGUUUUAGCCAUUACUUGCACAUAGAAUUACAUUUACAUGUACAACUUAAUGGAAACAAGCAUGUCAUAUUAACCCUGCCAGUUUAUGACUAACAAAUGAUAUUAUAAUUCAGAAUUACCAUUAAUUACAGAAGGAAAUCUCCACCUUUAGACGAAAUAACUACAAGCCAAACAACUUCAACAACUUACUUUGGAGUUGGUGUCGACUUUAAAGUCAGUCGUAAUGUUUUUAUUCUUCAACUGCGUGUUGACAUCACCCAGAAACAAUUCACCCUUCUUUAGUCCAGAUGCUGUAAUGGCCUGAAAAAAUAGCAAAUAUAUUUACAUAUUUGCGCUCUAGAAAAGUAAAAAAUGUAUGCAGCUCAAGUAGCAGCACGCAAACAAUAAAUGCUAUUAAAAAGCUCUGACUAAAAGCACCGACUUGCAGAAAAAUUUAAACCCCGUACUAAUGCCCUGGAUAUUGACUCAAUGACAGAUAAUUUAUUAGUCAAUGAAACAACGUAUUAACCUUCAUAGCACAAACUAAAAUAAACUUCCAGGUAUCAACAACUAAUAUAAUGACUGAGAUUGACAGUAUGACAGUGUAUUUUGGACCUUAAAACCUCUCCAUAUGUGAAUAACAAAGAAAUCAAUGUAGAAGUGAUGAUGGAUGUUGCUAUCUUAAACUGCAGCCUAUGUGGUCUUCCAGGAAAAUGGGCAAAGCUUAUUAGACAGUUGGAAAACUUGUUUCGAAAGUUAUAACAAUACCAUAAAACAACUUUUUUUCCUGGAAUAAGAGUAUUCUCAGUUGUUUUAAGCUGCAGAUGUGCAAAUUAGAAAGAGAAGUUCUUCUCUCUCCAAAAAUAUAAUAUUUGUAAAAAAAAUACACAAAAGAACCAAAGCCGGAACAUUUUACACAGUGAUGCUUCUAGAGUACCAGCAUUUUCUAUAAUUCUUUGAUUGACCAAUAGUAUUAACCAAUGGAAAGGCUGCCAUACUCCCCUACAGGAACUCUUUCACAAGAGUACCUAUCAACAGCAGAGCCUAAUAACUGCCUUGACAAUAAAUUGCAAGAAGAACAAUACAUGACCUCAUCAAUCAUGAUUCAUGGAUAAAAGGAUCAUGGAUUAAUAAUAUGAUCAAUCAUGACCUGAUGAUCGUGAUUCGUGGGUCAUAACAAAUACAGGGAGAUAUAAUAAUUUCCCUUGCUUUUCAUCCACACCAGAGAAAUCAGGCAUGAACACUUCCCAAAAGCUCUAUUUUUUUGUUUUUUUUUGGGGGGGGGGGGGGGGGGGGGGGGGGAAGAGGGAGGGGUUGAGUGGGUGGGGGACCAAAUUAAUAAUUUGCAAGUCCAAAUUGUACACAGUUAAGUGACAUUUAAACUUAGCAUUUCAAAGUAAAUAAAGCCAAAAUAACGACAUUCUCCCCAUGUUCUUCUCCUUUGUCAUUAUUGCAACAGUAGCUAAAACGAAAAUAUUUCCUCUUCCAUAAGUAAAUCGAAGAGACUACUUUUUCCAGCUGCAAUAUUUCACGAAACUCCAGCCGAAAAGCACAUCACACUUUCAGAAACAACACUCAUCGGCAAAAUAAGUUCAUACAUACAUGACCCAUUUGAACCCAUACACAGAAACGUAUACAAAAAACACAUAAACCAGUACAGAGAGAGAGAGAGCCCACCACUCCAUUGGGACUAUAAGUGGUAACGCUGAAUUUGUGGUCGCCCUGAUAAUCCUUGUACAAAAGAUCUAACAGACAAAACAUCAAACAUCUUGUGAGUACAGUACGAAAAUCCUCGAAACUUAACAAAACAGGACUACAAUUGAAAGAGGAAAGGAUAGAUAACCUCGGGCUCUUUUGCCAAUAUCGGAGUAGAGGCCGGGACCCUUCACCAUUUUCCGCAGCUAAAUUUCGACUGAGGAGGGAGAAAGAAGGGUUUGGUUGGCGGCGUUGGGUGGUAAGCUGCGACGGGGAGUUUGACGGGGAAAAUAGAGACAGAGAAUAUGAGGCUGGAUGUGUUGGAAAAUGCUUCCAAAACUUUUAACCUAGUUUAUUACGCUGAUUUUUCUUGGCCGUUGUAUUAUUUUGGGAGAGGGGGGAAUGUUGUGGGCCGUCGGUUAUUUUGAAAGAAUAGAAAAUUGAGUAAAAAAGAACUUGUUAGAUUGGCAACGGGAAAAAAAAAACAAAAAAUAACAGGUUCCUUCAUGUCUUUUUAAUUUAAUAUGGCAAAAAUCAACAAAACUACAUUAAAUAUUUGGUUAAUUUACAAAUAUCCCUUGAGGUUUGUGAUAAAUUACAAGGGCUUGCCAAUUGUCCUCGUGGAUAAUGUAACAAGAGGGAUUGUUUGUGAAUGUGAGACUUUUUUUUGGGGUUUAUUGUGAACUGUGUUGUAAUGAUUUUACUAAUUUUCAAGAUAAUUAUCGUAGCGACAAUUUCUACCUCAUGCAAAUCUAAGAAAGAGGAUAUUCAUAUGUACAUUUGUUUAAUAAUGUACCUAAUUUUGUUUUUCCUUAAUUGAGGAGGAAAGAUAUUUAUCAAACAUCAAAUAAAAAAAAAAAAGUGCCAAAUUUUGUAAAAGAUGGGAUUGGUGAGAUUUAAAAGUCCUUGCAAUCGCUUGUAAUAUAAACAUAUUUUUCAAUCCACUUUUUUAUAUUUUUAAUUAUUUUUUAUCUGAUAUAUAUCACGUCACAAAAAGUGUUACAGUAAUUAUUUCAAAUAAUAUUCUAUCCAAACAAAUCCAUACACAUUGCACGCACUUCGGUUAAUUGAGAACACCGUAGAAUGUGCAAUUCUUGAUUUUGCCAUGCUCUGAGAAUAAGUCACGGCUGUGAGCUCAUUUGUCGGAUGCUUCUUUCAAAAUGAAUAAUAGAACUAUGAGCAAAAGGCAAAAGAUACUCCUUAUAUUGCAAAUAUUUGCACGCAAUAGAAGGAGUGAACGCCAAAAAGAAGAAGAAAACCAUCACCAUUGGCUGCCCUUUAACUUUGAGCAACAUAAGCCCCCAUCCCCAAAGCCAACCCUCUAAUAUGUAUUCUAUGCACCAAAAAACAAAAACGAAAACAAAAAAAAAGAAUGCCACUCAUUAUUGCCAUUUUAUUAGCAAGCAAUGGAGAUUUUUGAGGGGGGAAAUUUUCAAUUAGAAAGAGAGACAGAACAUAUGUCACAGAGUGGCUAAACUUUGCAAUAACUAAAGAAAGCUUAAACAAGGAUACAAAGUCUAGACUAUAUACAUACAAAUCGACACAAGAUUCCAUACAAACCUUGAAGAACCAUUCUGGAACACUUAUGGUCUAGAAUUUUAUGUCAUCUUUUUAGUCAUAAUCACCUAAGAGAAAUCCUACUGUCUUUUGUAAACUCUCCGGCAUUGUUGAUUGCAGAUAAAAGUCCUGCGGUGGCGUAUGGUUUUUCCACAGAGGGCUGGUUGUCCACUGACCGCAUUGGAUCAAUUAAUGCUUCCUCCAGUUGUUUAUGAUAAUCAGCUUCCACGUUUAGAAUCAAGGGACGUCCUGAACGGUCUUGAUAAAUAUCGCUCGCUCGCUCGCUCCAAAACUUAUGCUUGGCACUAACUCCUCUGUUGCAAAGGAUCCAUUGCCAUUUUGAUCAUGGCCAUAGUGUUAUGAUAAUCACAAUCAUCUUCAAUAUUGAGUUCAACUGGGGGACCUUGAUGAUGAUCCUCAUUAAUUAACUGCUUGCUCCUUUCUUGAUCGUCUAAAGGUGGUAACAACUCGUCAAUGUCAAUUAAGUCGCGAUCAACAUCUCGACCUUGAUCUUCAUCACGCAUAUGAUGGCUCCCUCAUCAUGAUUUACGUCUUCAGAAAUCAUACUGAACUUUUGCUGCGGCCUCUUCUUGACGCGACAAAGAACAAUGUUUGGGAUAGAAUCCUUAAGCCUAAACUCAUCCAUAAUAUAUCCACCAUGAAUGCCCUUACCAUAAUAUAUCCCAGUUUAGUUGAUAGGCCAUUAAAGCUCACACACAGCUAACAAAUUUUUAUCUUCCUUUAAUUUCUAUAAUUUGUACACAUCACUAUUUAGAGAGAUUACAACUGACUUGUGUUCGAGUUGGCAUGGCCGUCUAAAUAAAUCUCAUUGAUUGUUAAGGACCAAAUAGUGGAACCAAUGGGUUGAAAGGUUGGUUUACCAAUGGGCACCAAGAUUCUGAACAGUAAAUGUUCAAAAUAAGUAUUCGAAUUAGCCAGGCAUAAUCUUAUUAACUUGUUCUGGUAUGUAUGAUGAUUAAUAGUAAUCUCAUCAGAAGUUGAGAUUGAUUUCCGAAACUUUUCAUGGGGCUAACAUUCGGUUCUAAGUUGAAGGGCUUUUGUUCAAAGAACUCGGGGGAGGAAAAGUUCGUUUCAUCAAGAAUUCCACACCAUCUUCCCCCCCGUCCUUCGAACCCGGGGAGGAAAAGUUAUUUUUGAUCAAUCAUUCCUUACAACAUCCCCCCCCCCCUUUUUUUUCCUUCCCUCUCCUUCAUGCAUCGUGGUGAUUGUCAAAAGUUCUGUUCCAGCAAACAGGCAUCCAUUUUACGACUCAAGGCAAAGGAGUUCACGUAUUCCAAACAAUGAGCCCAAUAAGAAGUUGAAAUAUACAUGCUAAAAAUUUGUACCCAGACCGUCAGACGAUUACCAGAUUGGACCUUUUUCUUUCCCCUUUCUGCAUGAGAACGCAGGAAUCAGGGAUGGGGGAGGAGUAGAGAUAGGAGGGUUUCUUAUUUGGAUACAGAUAAAUAUUUUCUCCACUAAAUUCAGCUGUGCUUACAUUACAUUCUUUCCCAAAAGGAAGUUACACCACUCAAGACCACAACAUCAUAAACCAUGCUCUUCCAUUCCCUUUUCCAGUCAUCAUCUAAAACACCAGGGGGCCAACAAAUCAUGCUCGUGAUUUGGGGAAAGAAAAAGAAUGUGGAUUGGAAAAGAAACGCGUCCUGGGAACUCCAGUCCACCCCUAUUGUUUACCAUUCGGUUUUGGUGAGUUUUGAGGAAACUGAUGAUGAUACGGAGAAGCAUGAGAGCCAUUUGGUAUGGAAAGACUCCUAGGAUGUUGUCCAUUUCUCGUGAAUGAUGCAACUUGUGAUCUUAUACCAUUUCUGGUGUUUGGACUGGAUCCUACGCGAUCAGUUUGCAUGGUCUGAAAAUAGUAGGAUGAGCUGGCCAUGUCCUUGAGAGCAGGCAAAGGUCUCAAGGCUUCCACAACUUCACUCAUUAGCGGCCUGGCUUUUGGGUCUCGGCCAAGGCAGCGAGCAGCCAAUUGUGCAGCUUUCUGUGCACCUUUAAUCGAAAAAUGGCCUUCCAGCCUAGGGUCUAUCAAUCGAUAAAACCUUCUUCUCUCGCCAAGAUGAGGCCGGGCCCACUCUACCAGGUUAUGCUCCCCGUUAGGCCGGUUCUUGUCCAUCGAUCUCCUGCCUGUUAGCAUCUCAAGUAAAACCACGCCAAAGCUGUAGACAUCACUCUUCGACGUAAGGUGCCCUGAGAAAAAAAUUACAUGUCUGAUUAGAAAUUAACAGCUAAAUACACAAUGAUCACGUAAGUUGCAGCCACCAAACACUCGACUCCAUAAUGAAGCUCAAGAAAAAGAGAAGCUAAACACGCUAUCCAUAAUUUCAAGUAUUGUUCUACCACAUAAAAAUCUUAGUUAUUAGAAUUACUGAUGAUUUAGUGAGAAAAGCUAGUCUAGCUCCAGCUUUCUGUGUGAGAUUCAAUGUAUUGACAUGAUUGCGCUCCCUUGGUCCUAUGAAGACAUCGAAUAUAAGUAGCACGUAGAAUAGAAUACUCAGCAGCCAAGCAUAUAUAAUCAAACAGAUGAAUGUCCUAUGACCAUGUUAAUUGGGCUUUUAUUUGAAGUAGCCAAGUUCCAUGCCAAUUCAAACGGUAGCAAGAAUAAUGACCACAGAUAUGCCAGAAGCCCCUCAUUCUCACAAGACAAGCGGGCACACACGGCAAGGGAAAAUUGUGAGACAACAAGGGGUCGGGAUUAGCAUAUUUUCCAACAGCAGUGAAACAUCCAUCACUACAGGUCAAGCUUUGGAAAAGACAAAAUUAAGCCUCCAAUAUGAUUGAAUAACCUACUUUUAUUGCCUUCACAGCCGCCUUUUCUAUCUUUCUUUCUUCUCUAGAGGAAUAGCAUGCAAGAAACAAAUAUCAAUAAUAAUUAUAACAAGAGAUCAAGAUUACCUGUCAUCACAUAUUCUGGGGCCGCAUAACCAUAUGUUCCCAUCACACGAGUAGAGACAUGAGUCUUAUCCCCCUCUGGACCAUCCUUGGCAAGUCCAAAAUCAGAAAGCUUGGCAUUGUAAUCCUACAAACAAAUGAUGUUUUAUUAGGUAAAGGGUAAAUGGCCCAAUUGCAGUUUAGUUCUCUGUGCUUUGUACUGAUCUCAAUUUAGUACAUCAUAUCUUGCACUCGCCAUAUUUUAGCCCAAGCAUAUUUUAGUCACAACCUACUUUUGUCCCUCGUGUUUCACUAAUGGCAUAAUUAAUCCCCAAUAUCCUAAGGUUUGAUUAUUUUUGGUUAUUUAGCUAUAAAGCAAACAUACAAACUGUAAAACACAGUGGACGAAAUACUGUCAAGUAAAAACAUGGUGGACUAAAUUGAUACAUAUACACAACAUAAGCAAUCAAAUGUCUUAAAAGUUGCAAAAUAGAAGAGUAAAAUGGAACCAGAGCAGAAUUUUGAAGACUCAAACAGCAUUUCCCAGAAUGAUAAUACAAGUUAAUUCAUAUAAAUCCUGAAGUGUUGAUCACAUACUGCAUCUAACAGGAUGUUUGAGGUCUUGAAGUCACGGUAUAUAACUGGCCUCUCUGCUUCCUCAUGGAGAAAUGCAAGACCUUUUGCAGCACCUAGAGCAAUUUUCAUCCUGAUAGACCACGGAAGAGGAAGGGACCCUGCACAAAAAGAACAGGAGUUAAAUUGAAGUAAAAAUGGAAAAUCAUACGCAAAGCCAGUAUUUACAUUUACGUUGCAAUAGCACCACAGUACCAACAACAAAGUGAAUGAAGUGAAUACUUGGUACCGUCAGAUUAAAAUUACACCUCUGAUACCAAGCUCAAAAAUGGUACAGACAAUCAGAGAACUAGACAAGGAUGAAGAUAGGAAACAGGAUUGUGAAAGAUGUCCACAGUUUGCUUUAUUUCCAUCAUAAUAUUAUGUGAAGGCAUUAAGCAUGUAGCUAAGGAUAUUUCAACAGUAUUACUAUCCCUCACCAUGAUCUAUGAGUAUUAUCAUUCAAUGAAUCUGACUCUGAUCAGAAAAAGGAUUGGGUAAGUGACACCUACAUAACAUUGACCAUUGAUAUCCAGAAACCAAUACUCAAACCAAUAUUCAAGAACAGAAAACAAAAACAGUAGGUAAAGUUGAAGAUACAUGUCCUUACUACAUCCUCGCUUUUUACUCAUAUUCUCUUUUACUCCAAUACUCUUUCUGGCACCCAAGCACCUCCAUCAAACCAGGACUAGAAACACCAUUUUUCCCCUUUUAUCAUGGAAAAACCUACUACUCAAGGGGAGGAUGAUGGAAGACCAAACCAGUUAAAGAAUUGGUAAAGAAAUUCAUUAACCAUCUGAGACAACCCUAAUUCAUAAUUAGGCAAGAAUUGAUGUAUGUUUAGUUAAAGAGAUAGCAUUAGAAAUUUCAAGAGUCAGCCAACCUGCAUUCAAGCAUCAAUGGAACAAUAAAAUGAGCAACACUCUGAACUAAAACAGAAUGAAUUGGUAAUACAUAAAGAACUUUGGAGAAUAAGUAGCAAGGCCAUUCAGCCAGUACAGAAAUAACCAUACCAUUUCUUGAAGCUUGUGGGACCACAUUUAAUAAAAUACAGCGAACUCCAACAUGACAAAUAUAAAUACCCCGUAUCCUAAAUGGAAGCCCACACAGGGAGGCACAUGCAUAAGUCCAUAUAAAUCAUAAUUAGCACUUCAAACAUAUUCCUCAACAAGAUGGGUUACAAGCUUGUCAUUUUAUUAUUUAUUUAUUUAUACACUUUUUGGUUUUGUAGAACCGGUAUAAGCUUGUCAAAUGUCAUACAUAGACAAGAUGAUCUCUUCAAAGUAUCACUUUUACAAUUCAACAUGAGGAGGAGAAGAAACUAUCAUUGAACAAAAUUUACAAGAGUACUAAUUACAUACUCCUAAAGAGAUGGUUCUCCAAGCUUCCCCGAGGCAUGAACUCAUAAACUAGCAGUCUUUGAUCAUCUUCAAUACAGUAACCAAUAAGCUUAACCAAAUUAGGAUGGAUAAGAUCGCCAAGAAAACUUACUUCGGCCUGCCAAAUUUAAUUAAAAAUUUAGAAUGACCAAAAGUUAACAAGGACAAAUUAGAAAAACAGCAUCAAAAGCAAAGUUAUUCAAGAAAGCAUCAAACCAGCCAUUCUUUGUGACCCUGAAGCCCAUCAUGAUUGAGAGUUUUCACAGCAACGGUAAGCCCCGUUCCAGGUUUCACUGGCGCUGUUCCAUUCUCUUCAAUCCAUCCCUUAAAUACACAACCAAAACCUCCUUCACCAAGAAGAGACUCUGGUCUAAAAUUUCUGGUCGCCAGUUUCAGAUCAUUAAAUGUGAACUUUCGAAGCCGAGAAGCAACCUUUAGCUCCUCUUCAAGUUUGGAUGUGGAUGAAUUACUUUCUGCAGUACUGGUGGCUGUCGAAGAAAUUAUUGCAGCAGCUGGUUGAUCUCGACUAGUGUCAUUUGCAGACUUGGUUUCUGCAGACAUGCACAAAAGUGGAAAACAUAAGGUACAGGAUAUAAUCUUGUAUAGAAGAGAAAACCUAGGAAGAAUUUAUCUUGUUUAGCAAUUAGCAUUUAGCACACAGUAUUCUUGAAGACUAUCACAUUCCAAGAAAUCACAGCCAUGUGCUACACAGGGAAAAUACUAGACAAAGGCAACCAGUAUGGAGACAUCACUGAGCAAACAUGAGCAAGUAGUCAGACAGCACUACAAGAGAAUCAAUGGAAGGUUCUGAAGUGGUUCUAUGAGAUGCUUGACUUAAACAACAGAAAGCAAUAACUUUAAUCCCAUUAAAUGAGGUACUCUCAUAUCUGCAGCGAGAGGCUGGAAACAUCAGAAGUUUGAAUAACCACCUGCCAAUUGGUGCUUAUGUGCAACCAAGGAUAAAAUGUCUCCCUUCGUCUCUUAUCCCUGUUAUUAUCCAUGCGUGUCAUGGGGAUAUGUUUGACUAAAAGGCAUCAAAAAUCAAAUACAUUUCCCAGCACUGACAUUAUUUGGACCAUUCAAAUUGAUUUCCUAGCAAAUUACAACCCCUUAAUUGAAUUGGUUUCUGCAACUAUACUAGAAAACCUCAAUUUCCAUUAAGUAUAGAAAUUUCAAAUACUUGGUCAAAAUCAUUAAGGGCAUGCCCAGAAUAUUAAUUUGAUUUACCAAAAAUGGGUUACAGUGGCAAUCCAUUACUGUCAUAAGCUACAAUAAAGAAAUAAUAAAAAAGGACUUUCAAGUACUCCUUAAGAUUUUUUCUUUCGCAAAUUGUAGUCUAAAGACUAGCAAUUCUGUCAAAUUUAACAAUUUCAAUACCAUUUCCUUUUAAUAAAAGGAUGUAUCCCACAUUGGUCCAUGGAAGAGGUUGCAAUCCAUGUAUAGAAUAUACAAAUCUCAUGAUAUAAAUAUCCAAAAAGAUUAAAACGGAAUAAGCUACAAACAUUGAGGUACUCUAUCCAUGAAAAAAGCAAAGACCUCCCCCACCCCACAGCCAACAAAAGGACAAUUAGAUUAUACUGGAAGUCUUAUUUGUGUUUUGAUUUCUUUUACCUUCCCUCCAAUUUUUGUCUCAUUUUCAGGUUUUCAAGGGAAGAAAUGGUGGGACUGGGACAGUGAAAGCUACCUGCCUACCGAUAACACCAUCUGACUUCAAUUGCUCAAACCAAAAUCUGAAAUUUCUCAUGAGGCAUUGCUUAUAUCACCUAGAGCUUGGCAUACCAAUAAGUAAAGAACACGUGAAAUCACGAAAAAAAGAUGAUGACCAUGCUCUGGAAUCUGGAGAAAGGACAACAUGCUCAAGCGAAUUAAGUAAAACACACAAGCAGAACAUGUACGCACAAUUUCACCACAUAUGAUACGAAAGUGUUCAUGUAGACUGAGAACAAGCUUAGCUGAAACAAUUAACUCAACCUUAAUCAGUUCAAUUGAGAAAAAGGAAGGAAUCUUGCAAAUACCAUAGUGAGUACUGAUGCCACUGAUAGAGCUAUCCACUUUAGAUCUUGAAGAAAUACAGCUGCCAAUAAACCUUAACUUCCUCCAACAUCCAGUCUCCACGGAACCACCUCUCUCUUUCUUCUUCUUCUUCCCCUCUGAUUUUCCAACAUCCCAAGAUUCCACCUUUUCACCAUCACCUCCUCCAACUAAUCCCAUCUUUCACAACCCCUAAAAUAGAACUCAGAUGGCAUCAAAAAACUCCCAAAAUCACACCUUUCACCAAAGGCCCACCUCCCCCUUUCCCAAAGCCCUCAAACAAAUUCCCCAACUAGCCCUUAUACAGAACUCCUAUUUCCAACAAAACCCGACAAAAAUCAUCCAAAAUAGCUCAAACCAGGUUCAGUAAAUCAGCCAAAGACUCUAAAAUACAACCCAAAUACCCGAAAGGGCCGCCAGAAAUCCCAAACUUGUAGGCCAAUCCUUCGAAAACAGUUGAAACAGCUCAAGCCCAGUAGGAAAAACCAACCAAAGAUCACAAAUUUGCUCCAAAAGAGCUCAAAUAAUCAGAUCACAUGUUUGAUCUUCAACAAAGUAGAAAACUUUACCCCCAGUUGAGGAAUAGAACAGAUUGAUAGUGCAGGCAAGCAAGCAAAGCAUAGUAAAAAAACAAAAAAAAAAAAACAGAGCUGGAAUCAGACAAUAAUUCCAGUUCAAAAGUGCCCCCCAGAAAUGUCUGCACCUCAAAGAUAUCCCAACAAAAGAGAACUAUUAUUCUGACCAAUUCAAUGCUCGAAAAAGAAAAAGAAAAAAAGCAAUUUAUUUUCUCUGAUAUGUAUGCGUAAUGUAUAUACACCUCUGGAAAUGAGAAAUAAUUAUUGUAAUGAAAUGUGAAUUAUCGGUUCUUACAUUUUUUAAUAGAAACGAAGACCGAAAAAGCUAAUGUGGAGCUGCCCGGAGAACGCGGGCAGAAAAGUUGAAUUUACGUAAAUAGUUAUGAGACUGCUAACUAUUUACGGGUUAAAACUUAAUAAAUAGAAACCAAAAUUACUUGAACAAUAAAAACGGAGGUCAUCGGUGAUAAAAAAAAUUAAAAAAUUCAUUCUUCUUGAACAAAUUAAACCAAAUUUGUACAAUGUCUAAUAGAAAUCAAUUCAAGCCCUAAAGAUAAAGUAUAAGGCUUAGUUUGGGAGUUUAUGAUAGAAAAGAAAAGAAGGGAAAGCUUAAGUCACGAGAGAAGAGAUUGUUAUAUUGUUUGGGAGUUUUGAGAAUUAGUGGAAUGAUUUUGGAUAUGGAAGUCAUUAAAUAUUUAUUCAAGGCAUUUUUAAGGACAAAAUAGGCAUUUUAGAAAAAUUAACAAGCUUUCUCCAAACUUUCUCUCCAUUUCUUUCCAAUUUGGGAGGAAACAUUUUUGUCACUAUUCAUCCUCUCAUUUCCUUUCUUUUCUUUCCUACUUAAAACUAUCAAACAAAGGAAAAUCACUCUUUCACCUCUUUUCUCUUCUUUUCUAUCCAAAUCAUUCACUCCCAAAUGAACCCUAAAGCUUGAAUCUUAAUAUAACCGAAUCAAGUCAAUUGAGUUUAAUUUGAUAAAAAUUUAAAUCUUUCACCUCUUUUCUCUUCUUUUCUAUCCAAAUCAUUCACUCCCAAAUGAACCCUAAAGCUUGAAUCUUAAUAUAAUCGAAUCAAGUCAAUUGAGUUUAAUUUGAUAAAAAUUUGUUUAAAUUUGAUUCAAAAAAUAAUCAAACUGAAUAGGGACACAAGUUUAAAUUUAUUAAGGAAUAAAAGUAUUUUUAAAUUUUCAAAAUGCAUUUUGAUUGCAUAUUUUGAGAAGUUCUUAAAAAAAAUUACUAUAAUAUUUUUUAAAAUAUGAUGCACGCGAAGAGAAAAUAUCAAGUAAAAGGAGCAAACAUUCACAAAAACUAUAAAUAUUUGUCUCUAAAAAAAUUCCAAUCGCACCUUGGCUAAAACUGAGAGCAGGCUUCAUUUAAAAUCCACGAAUUAGCGCUGCAAGAAAAAAUACCGAGGCUAUUGCAAACGUUUUAGUUGGAGGGGCAGUUUUGGAAAUUCGAGCGGUAUUGAAGAGGAGAGCUGUCAGUUUUCAAGAAGUGAGAAGUGGAAAGAAUGGGCAGCCUGGGCACGAGAGAGUAUAAGAGGGCGGGACCCACAUGUACGGUGACGUGCCCGCCUCAAGUGUGCGGACGCCAACACGGGCGUCAGGAAUGAUAUUAAGGGCAUUUUUCCUUAAAUCUUAAAUUAUUUUUCUCUGUUUUUCCACUAAACGGAAAAAAGCCAUCGUGAAUUCUAUUUUAAAAGCUCUCGUUGAUCAAGCAGAUUAGUGGAGAAAAGAAGUGAAAUUCCAGACCAUAUGUGGUUCGUAUUUUCUCAAGAAAAGAAAAAUGAGAAGAAACACGAAUCAUUUUGAAACAUAAGAAAUGAAGGGCCCCGUCGGAUUUUUAGUUCCGCAAAAAUUUUUUAAAAGUGAUAUUUUGAUAUUAUUUUUUUUAUUUCAUAUACAUCAUCACAUCACAUCACAUCACGUAGUUACCAUCAUGCAUAUUUCUAUAAAAAAAAUUUUAAAAUAAAAAAAACAAAACUCUGAGACAAGGAAAACAAAAUGAAAUUUAAUCAUAUGAUUAGCAGCCAAUGAGUGGGAUAACUUCUAAGCACCGGCUUAAUAAUAAUUACACAAAAAAGCAAACAAUCUGCCAAAGCGAAGAUUCGAAAGUUGGGGAGGGGCACAGUGAAGGGAGUCUGAAAACAGCAGUGCCCCCAUCCCUAUCUUCUAUGCUGACUUGGAUAAAUGAGUUGCACCCUUCUUCAAAUGUUGACCAUCAAAGUGCGAGUAGGUUGCGGCAAAAUUCCUUUGGUUGCUUAAUUUUCACCAAUAUUAUUAGUAUUUACAAGGGAUAGGGGGGGGGGGGGGGGGGAGAGUAGACUUUAAUGGGCACAUAAUGAUAUUAAAAUAGAAAAUACGAUAUGGGGUUGAAAUGGGAGCAUAGCAUGUGAAAGCCACCCCUGGCUUGGCUGGCUUAGAUUAGGUUUUUCAUUCAUUUAUUAUCUACCAAGACUGCUGCUGCUGCUGUGAUAUUUUUGUUCAACAAUUUUAGGGAAAGGAAGUUGCAGUGAUUCACCAAAUUCUUUGACUUUUGAUGAUUGACAAAAGGUUUAUUUGCAUGUGAGGGUGAGGGUGAGGGUGAGGGUGAGGUGGGGGCUUUCUUUUUCUCUGAAAUUGAGGGAAUUGAAGAAAGCCAUGAAAUAUGUGGAUUGAGUUGGGUGAUAUUGAAGCAUGAAUUGGAAAAAUAACUCGUUGCAGCAAACCACUUAUACAUGAAACUGCAAAAAAUAAUAAUAUUUAAAAAGUUUCAAGUAUGAUUUCUUAUUUGGAUUGUUAUUUUUUUUUCUUUUAUUUCACAUGUAUUAUAUCGUUACAGUAUAUAUAUAUAUAUUUAUAUAUAUUUUUUUUUUACAAACUUUUCAAAAAAAAAAUUAUCAAUUCAAGCAUAAUUAUACGCUAGAACGGAAAUGCAUCCAUAGAUCUAGGAUGAAACAACAGACGAAUUGAUCUGCGAGACAAGAAAGAGGAUGUGCAAAUUAUUCUGCAACUUAAAACCGUACAAGUGUAAUAAAAUGUAACUUAAUAGAUCAGGCUGGAAAACACUACUGUAGCGGAUUUUUGUCAAGGCUGAGUUGACUUGCGAGCACUAUUUUAUUUGCUACUGUAUAACUGUAGAAUACGAUAAGCUGAUGGUUGUUUCAACAUAUAUUUUUUUUAUAGAGAAUAUCCCUUCUUAAUUUGUAUUAUAAAUUGAUAAUGUGACCCCUCUGAAAGUGAAAGCUACUACUAAAUGUUAACGUCCAUGUAAUUUUUAUCUUAUCUCCCCUUAUUGUGAUUGAUGUGUGUCUUUUUAUUUCUUUUACACCAAGCCGUGAAAAUAAUGGACCCAUGCUACAUUCUUCUACAGUGCUAUUUGAUGUUCAAGGACAUCAAUUGCCACAAAAUGAACUACACGCUAAACCUCAGGUGAAAAUGGAUGGCCUGCCCUGUCUGAAACUGAAAGCCCAAGGACAACUUGGUUCAGUUUUUUGAGUGUUGAUUUACAUUCUCCAAUUUAGAGGCAAAUCCGCAGCAAUUAACUCGAAUUCUCCUAGGAAAAAGGUUGACACUUGCAAAGAGAUAAACAUCAUCCCAACGAGGAGAGAACAGUUGAUAAAAUCCCAUUGUACUUUUUAUCUUUUCUUCUUUCUCCUCAUCUAGUCUCCGAGUGAAAAGAACAAUCGAGAGUAUGCACGUCGCAUGACAAUUGUUGAUGGCAAAUUGGCCACUUGACAAAUCUCCAGAGAACGACUGGACUGCAGUUGAAUCUCCAGUGUCUUUCAACUACAGUCGGAUUUUGGCACUGUCGAAUAUGAUUGUGGCUCUGCUGCAAAUAUCCGAAAACCAAACCUUAUAAAAAGCACCACUUGCCCGACUACUACUAGCUCAGGUUUCCAUUAAGAGUUGGUGCAACUUGCAAAAGCAAUCUUCGCGAGAAUAGAAAAAUGCAGACAUUGGCAGAGGAACAAAAGUUUGGUCAGGGAACCAUGCCAAGCUAUAAACCCACGAAGCUCUAUAAAGGGGCAGUCUCAGCCUCCGAAUGGGAUUUUAUAUCCGCAGCUGCAAGUAUUCCCGGAUGAUGUCUUAGGAUCAGAACUAAAAUUUUGCAAGAGAUAAAACUACAAUAUUCCAGUAGCCACAAUGACAUCUCAUAGAAAACAUAGAUUACCUCAAUCGAAUUUGUUUUUUUAAAAAAAUAAUAAUAAUAAUAAAUCAAAAUGGCCCCGUACAUAUUCACAAUGAAUGAAAACUCAAAUUGAAAAUUUGAGAUAUUGAAUUAUUUUUCACGGAACUCAAUUGUACAAAUACAGCUUUAACAGCAUAUCUCCUAUUCUAACCUUUACUUGAAUCUGUAAAUCGUACAUGACUAUGUAUGCCUGUUUGGUCUCUACACCAUUCAACAGUCCGUCAGACCAUUCCUGUGGCAAUGCUAGACGUAGCAUUAAUCUUUAGUGAAUGCUCAGGCACAUAGGUAAGCCCUGCCAAACACCAGAACAAAACAAAAAUGGAUAAAGGACAUAAACAAGGUCAUAUACCAGACAAAUUACAUAUAAGCCUAGUCUGUAUAGCCUUUACAAUUCUACAAAUUGAAGAAACUGCAUACAUCAAAAGUGAAAACCCAAUCGAAUUGGUAACUGGUAUCAACACCAAGUCAUUAACUCAGAAGCCAUCCUUGACCCCAAACAAUCAACAUUCUUUGUAAAAUCAAGUGUUGCAAACAAAUCUCCUUCCCUGUAUCUGUGCAGUUUGCAUCAGGUAAUUAUUGCAAGAAAAUUUUGACAUCUUUUGGCUAAAUGUUCCUAGACAACACUUCUGAUUGUUUGCUUUUCGUCAAGCUUCUUUCAUAGGUUAAAUCUUUUGCUUUUUGAGAUAAUUUGUGUUCAUAAUCACUGAUUGAAACAUAUCAGAGUCAAAGGAUGAUAUGCAAUACUUCACUACUCAUCUUGGUUUUAAUACAAAAACCUUAUAAUCUCAAGAACAAUCACAAAGAAAAGAUAUGAACUCAACAAAAGGACCCAGAGAUACCUUUCUCCUUAACGCCAAUCUGCAAAGAAUCAAGAGCAAUGAUUCCAUCCCUCAAAGGAAGUACCUCAAGCUUGAUAGUUGAUGUACACUGAGCAGGAAUGCAUCUGAAGCAACCAAGUUUAGUUCAAGAGGGGGCAGAUUGAAAUUGAGAGGAAAAAAAACACUACAAUGGUGUUUUCUGUAUGUGCAUGUGCGUGUGAAGGAAAGAGAGGGAGAUUACCCAAGUGGCACUCUACUUUGCAACCAGAGAUGUGUACAGCCUAAAUCAUUGCUCGGAAGGACAUCAGAUAAAUGAAUAACUUCAGCAUUCAAUGAAAUAGACUGAUAUCCACCUUUCCCUCCCUGACCUUGAUCCAUGAAAACUGAGACUUGUGUAUGGCCAGCAUUGCUGCUUCUUUCACUACUCACUCUUGUUGUCAACUCAGAAGAAUUGAUAAAUGGGCUUGCUGGUGAUGAUGGUGAAGAACUCAAUGACAGAACAGAUGGUGGUGAAGUAAAUGAUGCUGGAGCAAGAACUGUCAAUGUAAGAUCUUCAGAUGUCAAAUUUGAAGCCUGAAGUGUUAACACCUGACAGUUUCAAGAAUCAAGAUAAAUGCUUUGCAAAUAGAGAAAUAAAGAACACAUUUGCUUCUCAGAUUUAGGUAAAACCUGAACUGAAAGCGGAGCAACUCUUCCAUCAGAUCCAAUAGCUUGUCUUGACCUUUCAGAAGCAACAGAUAUCAUAAUAUCCCUAGAUAUACGUGGCCUCCAGCUUGUAGCUUGUUUGAAGAACAACCUUGAUUCUAGAAUUUAAUAACAUAUAGGUAUAAAUGAAGUAUAAUUAUAUUAACCAAUUCGGUACCGUAACUAACAGAUAAUCAGCAGUAAUUUAUACCAGUGAAGUUGCUCCUACAUGAUACAAGAAUUGCAUACUGAUCAGCAGACGAGCCACUUUGUUUUCCUUCGCUGUAAAUGGAUUGACGCCAAGUUGUUACUGCAUUUCCAGCAGCUAAACUUGAUGACUCAAAACUUUUUUCACCAUGACUUCUAGGGCUCUUCCAUAAUGAAGCUGCUGGUUUAAGAAUAAAGGAGUGUUCUUCCCCUCUCCUGGAAAGACAGCAUAACAACUAAACGAUUGAGAUUCUAGGGAAUCUAGAUUAGCAACACUUACUAGUCUAUUAAAGUCCAUUUGUUUCGUUAAAUACAUGACCUGGGUGAUGCAUUCAAGUCGAUGAACACAAGUAAAUGAAUGUGAAAGCAUAGGCAAUUUAUACUCAUGAGAGAAAAGUUAAGAAACCUCUUGCUUUUCCAAGCAUAAAAAAUGGUUUCAAGACCUAAUACUGAACCAUAGGUGAAAAGCAACCUGAGUUCUAAAUUUGGCAAACUGUGCUCAUUGCCAGCUUCAAUGCAUGCAAUUGGAAAACACAAAGGUGGUCCACCAGUUGAAGCCUCUUCAUAGACGAUUGUAAUGGCAUCUAUAUACACCACAACCUCUUGCAAAUGAACAGGAGAGAUGUUCUGCAAUACAAGUAAAUGAAUAUACAUCAGAUGUUUCAUCAGAAGGUUCCUUCGAGCCAAAGUAGGCAGAACAAACAUAAAAAGGAACUAGUACCAUAGUUUACCUGUCGUUUUUUUAAUUCAAUAUUCAUUUCUUAAAUGAUCUAGCAGAUCUACUAUAAAAACGGGCUUUCGACCACAUUAAGAGACGCUAACAGUGUUAAUGACAAUAAGAGAAAACAGGGCUGACCUUCACUUGAACACAAACAAGGUUAUCUGAGUUGCAAUCUGCAGCAGUAGAACAAAUUUCUACAGGUUGAAUUAUUUCAAUUUUCCUUCUCCACCGUCUUCCUGGUGUAUAAAUGCCUUCCAGACCACAGCGAGUAGAAAAUCGCUCUGGCUCCAAUGACACACCUCGGAAUGAUAAAAGCCCUUCACUCCUGUUCUUUUGACUAAUUUCAAACUUCUGAAAUGAGAACUGAUCCCUGUCAUCAACGUCAGUGUUUGGUUUGGGACUGGGGGUUGUAACAGAUGGGGUUGGUGUACUAUUUGGUGGCAGGGAUGACAUGGAAUAACUUCUAAAAUGGCCAAAAGAGAAAAGCUGAGAACCAGAUGAGGCAGAUGCACUAGCUCUUAUGGACGUGCUCCGGAUGCUUGAACUCAUACUUAGUUGAGGUGGUGAUAAAGGACGAGAUGGAGGAGGUAUGGAAUUAUCCAAAGGAAGCAACCACCUCAAUAAUUCCCCACAUGGAUCAUGAUCCACGCCAACAAGAUUCUCCCCCUUCUCAGGAGACAAAGCUCUGUCCUGAUGCCUCUCGAAUUGAAGAACUUCCAGAACAGGAUCUCUGAGCAAAUCUACACCAACAUUUAUCUGUAAAAGCACCUGCAUCCUUCCAAACAAUAAGAUGGAAUGAAAAUCAGUAGUACUCCAACCCAAUAAAUGUCAUGAUUAAAGGAAAUAUCUAUUUUGGAAAAAGAUAAUCAGGUACCAAUAAAAAGAAACUUCUUUACAUAUCAGAAUACCAAAAAAAACGUAGGUUCUUAGUUCCAAAAUAUGAACGCUCAGAUACCAUACUUAUAAUUCUCAACAAACAUGAGAUAAAAUAUUCAAGAUGGGAUAGAAUUAUGUAAAGCAUACCACUAUAUCUCCAUUGGGAAGAGAGAGACACUUGAUAGCAUUUCUUGCCAAACCCCCAGUGAUGCUCGAAUCGCAGCUUCCUCUAUCGACAAUUGCGCUUAGAGCAACCUUUCUUCUUGCACUCUUGCUUAUUGAACUAUCAAUAUUAAACUUCUCAGCCACUUCUGAAGAAUCCAGAGAUUCUGAUGGAGCUCUUCUUUUAGACCAAAGUGGCUCAUCUGACUCCGCAAUUCGAACAAAAAAAUGCGAGUUUUCAAAUUUUUUCAGUAACAUUUCAGUCUGCCUUCUGUGAUCUUCCAUUCUAAGAAGAGAUUCACCAUCAGAAAUAUAAUUUUGUGAAUCCCUUCUGCCUUUAUUCAGGCUAUGCAGAUUCACAUCUUGAUCAUCGGAACUCCCUUCCUUCAUUCUUUCUGGAACAGGAUUAUUUUCACCACUGGUGUUACUGUUCUCUUUCUCGGGACUAUGUCCAAAACCAUUUUUAUUCAUCACUGCAGCCACUUUAAAGGGUGUAAUAAUUUCCAUAUCCUGCUUACAUACCGACAAGCAGAGUAAUAUAUGAAGUUGCUCACCUGUGAAACAGAAAACUUCAGAAAUCAGAAGGAACAAGAGGCAGGAGGGAAGAAUAAAUUAUAAACUGAAACCUGAACUCUUUUACUAAACAAAAAAGGGUAGCAGAAAUGAAAAUAUGAAAAUGAAAGCUGAAGGAUGCCCCCAAAGAUGAACUACCUGGAAAUACAAAAGAGCGGUCCAGAGGACGAAACGAGGACAUAUCUGGUGCAUCACUCCAAUUCCUAGGAAGUUCCUCUGGAGAAGAAUACAUGGUUAUGAUUAAUCUUAUCUUCAGCUUUAUUGGAAGCCAUUCAAGAAAUCUCAGGAAUCCAUUUCAAAAAUAGGAAGAAAAACUACUAAAAAUAGUUUCCAGCAUAUGUUUUACUCUCUCAAUAGAGGAAAAGGAUAUCAUGACAUUUUUUAAAAAUUUAAAAAAAAAAAAACACACACACACACACAGGACUUUCCAAAAUAGUGAAAUCAAUACAUUGGCUGCAGAAAAGAUAAAGACUAAGCUGCACACUUUCUCUUAAAAUUUAUCAAGUUGGUUUGGUGACACCACCACUAAGAUAGCAUGAUAAAAACCAAAACAGAAAGGAAAGAAAAGAGGCUGUACUGUAUGGAAUGGCUAUCCAUCCCUCAUCUUCAGAAACAUCAACAUGUGUGCCUUCAACAUGAGAGUUACUCUUUGCACUUGUGUGGUCAAAACUCCCAUUUUCAGUCCCGUACACUUCACUAUCUCCAUUCCUACUUUCAGCCACCAUAUUUUCAGGAAAUGGAUCUUCAGCAAUAAGACCCUCUAGAGUUGUUGCAAGUUUCACACGCUGAUGUGCAUCUCCUUGAAUUUCUUGAGCAUAAGAUUGCUCAGAAGAAGCUGCAGUCUGAUUUGACCGCAGCCCCAAAAAGUUCAUUCUUGCACCAAAAUUAACCUCUGCAGCUUUGCAACCGAAAAAUGAAUUCUGCAACAUUAAGCACACCCAUAUCUUAGAACUUCACCCCAAAUUUCUACUGCGCUAUACAUAAAUACUCCAUUUACAAAAUGGCCACACGAUACAGACACGUUGAAAAAAAAAAGGACUAAUGCAAUUCCUGGCAAAAAUUAAAUUCUGCAGCUUUUGAAUUAUAAAACUUUUUUUUCUGCAAAUUAAACGACCAGACCUCGAGUUGAGACAGCAGUAUAGAUUCAAUCUACUACAUUUAGCCACAAUUUACAUACAUAUACACUAAAUAAAAGCACUGAUGCAAAAUUUUCGUCAAAAAAGAAAUACAGCAGCAAAUGUGACGGUUUGAAUAGUAAGCGAAAUUAACAAAUCCAAUUACAGGCCAGAAUUAGAGAAGGAAUUGGUAGAAAUGCAUCCUUAUAUUUUAUUGAUGAAUAACCCUAAUAAUUUAAGUAAGCUCGCUUUAGAAUGUACGAAGAAAGAUCCACCGUAGGGAAUGAGAAAAUGUGAAAAGGAAACAAGUGAUCGGCGACUGGACUGAUGAAUUGAAUACCUGAUCGGAGAUAAUGUUGGAGAGAUGCAGCGAAGAAGGAGCGGGGCAGGCGGCUCGGAGCCGGUGUAAGAUCGGGUGCCAGUGGAGUUGGAGCCCGGAUCUGCGUUAGAUUGGUAAGUGUCACUUUGCACUUCGCUGUUCAGUAGCACCACUAGCUAGCGUACUACGGUCGACUGGAGCCACCUUUCCUAAACCCAUUUAGUUUGCAUUUGAUUUAUGUUAGGUGGGGGAGUUUGGGGAAAAAACAUUAUUAUUAAUGAACUCUUGUUUUCGAUUAUUAUUUUAAUUGAUUAUAGAUUACAAAUCAGAUUUUUGUAGUCUUUUCGAUUUUUUUUCUUUUUUUAUAAAAUCUGAAGUACUAAAUGGAGAACAAAUUUUAUAUUAGGGUAAAAUACAAAAAAAAAACCUCUGUGAUAAAUCUAAUACACAGAAAAAUUCCCUAUAAUUUCAAAAUAUACAACACGAUAUCCCGUACUUUGAGCUAAAUUGUAAAUGUGAUAGAAUCCGUUAAACUUAACAAAAAUGACUUAGUGGAACCUAAAAAAAAAUCUUUAUACCUAAUUUUUAAUAAAUAUACAUGUUCUACCCCUUCACCCUCAAUUCUCUCUAUCUAGAGAAUAAAACAAAUCAUUUUUUUAAACUGUCUUUUGCUUAAUUAUAUCAGAGCAUAUUUGUCAAUUCGUCAAUUUCCAUUAAGUUUAACGGAUUCCGUCACCUUUACAAUUUAGUUCAAAAUGCGGGGUGUUGUAUUAUAUAUUUUGAAAUCACAAUAGACUUUUCUGUGCAUUAAGUUUACCAUGGCGGCUUUUUUGUUUUUUACCCUUUAUAUUAUGACUGGUAAAUUAAGUAUGAAAUUUGCUUUGACGGGUGUCUGAAUAUUUUGGAUCGUGGCAACAUUUGCUGGGCAAAGUUUUCUACAGGGAAAAUCAUUCAAAACAUCCCUCACAUUUUGUAAAAUAAUUUUUUCGUCCAUCACUUUUAAAAGUAUAAUUUUAUGUCCCUUAUAAAUUCACAUUGAUUAAAUUUGGUCCCUAUCUAGGUUUCCAGCUAGUUUUUAAUAAGAAUCCAUCACAUGCCUUACACGUGAUUAUUUUUUAGGGGUAAAUUUGUCAAAUCAAAUUUUAUAAUAUGAUCCAUAAUCCCUCACAUUUUGUAAAAUGAAUUUUUUCGUCCCUCACAUUACACAAAAUGAAUUUUUUCAUUCCUCAUAUUUUAUAAAAUGAAUUUUUUUUAUCCCUCGUUGACUAUGUGUAUAAAUAGUUUUUUUUAAUUAACGUGUGUAUCUAUUUAAAUUUACUUGAAUAAUGUGAAUAACAUGUAAUAUAUCUCUAUUUGAUUUCACCCAAACAGGUUAAUUGUAAUUGUAUACAUGCUAUUCAAUAGAUACAUACAUGAGUUUAAAAAUAAUAAUUUUAUUUUAAACUCAUGAAUAUAUUUAUUUGAUUUCACCAUGUGAAUUUGUUCAAUAUUUGUGGUGUUUUCUCUUUUAACAAUAAUUUAUUUAUUAAGUUGUAUAAUAAGGCCAUCCAAUUAAUAGGUCCUAAUUCGAAUUAUACAGUCAUGCUAAUGAAUUGCAAUUUAAAUUUGAAAUUUCUACUCGCCACCUUUAAAACCAACAAUUGAAUUAUUUAUUUUGUAAUUGUUUUAAAAUUUGAAAGUGUCAAUUACUUACUUCUUUUUAUCAUACUUUUUCUUUGAUUAUUUUUUUAUCCAAAUUUAAUUCGAUAUAAACACUCGACAAUGUUGAAAUUAUUUAAUUUCGUCUAAAUAAGUUAAUGGUAGUUGUACGCGUGCUAUUUGUAUUAUUCAAGUGAAAUUAAAUAAACACAUAUAUAGAUUUUUUAAAAAACUAUUCAUACACAUGAUCAAUGAGGGAUGAAAAAAUUCAUUUUGUAAAAUAUGAGAGAUAAAAAAAAUCAUUUUGUGAAAUGCGAGCGAUAAAAAAAUUCAUUUUGUGAAAUAUGAGAGACUAUGGAUCGAAUUGUGUAAAAUUAAUUUGACAAUUUUACCCUUAAAAAUGAUCACGUGCAAGAUACGUGAUGGAUUCCAACCAAAUACUAGUUGAAAAUCUAGGUAGAGACCAAAUUUAAUCAAUAUGAAUUUGUAAAAGACGUAAAAUUAUACUUUAAAAAUAAGGGAUAAAAAUAUUAUUUUAUAAAAUGUGAGGGACGUUUCAAACGAUUUUUCCUUUUCUAAUGCUUAAUGAGGGGAAUAGAAAGUUUAGUUUUGUCUUGAAAGCAUCACAGACCCAGUGGUGGCCGAGCUCAACAACAGACGCCAGAUUUUACUCACCGCCCCCCCUCCCCAAACUUAUAGAUAGCGAGUCCAUGUAGUGGCCCAAUAGCUAAUAACCAAUUAUCGGGAAAUUAUUUUAAGCCGACAAAUUUUUUUUUUCCCUUUUUAUAUUGGGAAAGUGGUGGGAUUUACUUAAGAGGCGGAAAGGAGAAAAAAUGAUCUAAACUCAUAAGUUCUAAUUUCUCGAGUCUUAACUUACCCAAACAAAAUUUUGAAUAAUAAUGAGCAAUGAUUAAUUUAAAGGAUUUUUAAGAAAAUAGCAAGUGUAUUACCAAAUUGCUAAUCUACCUUGUAUAUAAGAAGGAAAUGAGGUUUAGUUCUUUGCCUCCCUUGUUGCCACUUGGCUUUCCAAUAAUUUGACAAAUGGCAUAAAUCUAAUAUUUUUCUUGCAUAUGAUUUUCUUGCCUCUUGCAUAUCCCCCUUUUUUUUUUUUUUGCUUUUUUUUUUCAUGCCAAACUAAGCAAGUUUGACUCCUUUAUUCUCCUUUUGAGCCCAACGAAUUUUUUUAACCUUAAUGAUUUGACUAAGCGAGUCUAUUGUUUAAUUCAUCACCGUUAUAUUAGUUUUAAUACAAUAACACUAUAUUACAACCCUUGGAUUAAUUUUCAUUCGUUCUAAUUGUCUACCUAUUAUAUAAGAGACAUGCGAAUUUAAUGUAGCACUCUCAUUUAUUGACAUGCGAUGUAACUCUCCUUUGAGGAAUCUAUGAAUUUUCUCUCAUAUUUUAUUUCUCUACUUCUAUCUUGAUGGAGUAAGACAAAAGAUAUACCAUACAGGAUAAGACAAAAUAUUUCAAUUGCAAGUCAUGUUGCAUAACUACAAUAACUUCUAGUGUUUUUAUAUAUUGUCUAAUUCAUGACUAUAAGAUCAACCUUUAUAGAUUAAUGAAAAAAAUUUUAAUCCUUGGAUAUUGAUUAAUUAUGUUUGAUCAGUAGCUAACCAACUAUUACAUUUAAACACCUCUUUUAUGUAAUCGAUUAAAGUCUUUUUUUCUAUUUCUUUAUAAAUUGUUUCUCAAUGUUGCAUAGAAAAAAUCAGAUUUCUUCCUUCCCAAUUGUAUUCAACUAUGCACUUGUUCAUUAAUUUCAAGAUUAAUGAUGGAUUUAAUAGAUGCUAUGUUUAUUGUCUCCUUGAUUUAGAAGAGUUGACUUCAUAGAUGGAAUUUCUUAUGAUACUCAAAUUUUCUCGUGUUUUUGUCUAUUAUGUACCAAAAAAUUUUGCUGUUAUAUAUUCAAUUAAGUUAUUAGGGGGCCUAAGCUGUGCCUUGCACAGUCGAGGUACCUCUAGUAUUGCUCAUAUAAAGGGUCUCGUAUUGAUGUUAUUUAGCAUCAUCAAUGGCGACAAUCAUGCAACACUUCUUUACGUAAUCAAGCACUCCCUUGAAGUCUAUGAAAUACGAUCUAGCAAUUCAUGUAAGGUCUUCAUCUCUGACCAAAUUCCUAAUCUAGAUUAUGAACAUGAAAGGUUAUCAACUAAGUUUUUAUUUUUAUAUUUUAAGGAAGGACCUCCUUAGUUAUUACUACUUUUUUUCCCCGGUUGAGAUCUGUAAAUGAAGUUUUUACAACAAUAAUAUUGCCGUUGGAGGUCAAAUAAGUUAGAUUUAUGAAAUUAAGGGUGUGUAUGAUAAAACUGAAAUCUAAAAACUGAAUUAUGAAAUAUGAAAUCUAAAUGCAUUAAGUUAUUGAAUUGUUAAAUAUUAAAUCUAAUACAUGUGAGUGCAUACCACAUUCAGCGAUAAAUGAAUAAUUUAUCACUUAAUUUUAGACGUAAGUUUUGCGUAAAAAAAUUCAGUGUCAUUUAAUUAAUUCAAAUAUUUAAUUUUUUAUUAUCAAACGGUCUAAAUAUGUUAAAAUUCGAAUCCAUUAAAUUAAGAUGUUGUACUGAAUUAUCAAGCAGGGCCUAAUACUAUCAUCAACAAUCACCAAAUAAAAGAUAGAGCAUCCUUUUCUUGCUGAAUGUCAGCUUCGUCUUCCAAGUGGUAAAACCAGCAAAUGUAGGGAAUGGUGUUGGUAUUUAUUUUUAUCUACUGAGUUAAUAUUUUGUAUAUUAUUAAUGGUACAGAUAAAUGGAUCUUGAUGCAUGUUACACAAUUUAGAUUUGAAUUUGAAAUAUUACAUCAUAUGAUAUGCAUCGAGACCCACUAACGCAUCUAUUAACGAUGUAUAAAAAUCAAAUCCCUAUUUAUUUGGCAAUGCAACAAGAGAUAAGGAAUACCCAACUAUGGAAUUCAUUAUCAAAUUCUCAUUUCCUUCCCGUAUUUUUUUCCUAUCAAAUGCAUCAUUCCUACGGUAGUCUCAAUGGGAAUAUCCAUUCCUUUCUUGUCUAAAAUCUUAAUAUAAUGGUUCACUUCCCAUUUUCUCCAUUCUAUUGCAGGUAAUUCCUUUCCAUCCCUCAAUUCUGGAGAAUCUAAAAAAGGAAGUUUGCAAAAAUACGCUACAUAUUGACACCGCACCCUCUGACAUGCACCCGGAACUUAUUAUUAUUAUUAUUUUUUCUUUCUUCUUAUUGACCCGGAAAGAUAGUACUGCCCUCUUGUUUUGUUCUCUAGCUAAGAUUAUGAUAAUCUGUUCAGCCUUGUCUCCAGUUUGGAGCUAGCUUUGAUCUGACGCGUAUGAUAUGCUCAUUGGACCACCAGAAAUAUUAAAAAGAAAAACAAGCUUGUGGGCAAAACCGAGGGACGCGUGGAAAUGCGGCGAUGCGCGGCCAAGGCGAAGCGACAUAAAUAAUCUUUGGAAAAGGAGAUGGACGGAGUAGUGGUCGAACCAGAUAUUUUUAUGCGGAAAAUGUGGACCUUUUUUUUUUUUUUUUUUUUGAAGAAAAUUUGAAUAUUAGAUGACUUGGAUAUAACGUGGAUGGAUAAGUAUCAAUGUCGAGUUUGGUGUUUGUUGGCGUUCCAACUUUCUAUUUAUGUCUUUGCUUCCAGAAAAAAAAAAUUUCUAUUUAUAAUUUUAUGCUUUUUCUUAAUGAAUGUGGACGGAUUUAAACACGCAAUCUAUUAUUUACGCUCAUUCUUUUAAACCAUUUGAUCCAUCCCUACCUGAUUUAUUAUUUCGUGCUCAUAUCUGCUUUGUAUAAUCAUUUCCUUUUUAAAAAUUUUCUACGCAUGCUUGGAUACUCUUAAUUAUGUAUUUAGCAAGAAACUAUAAUUGGUUGCCAUGAAGUCCUUGGGUUGGAUUGAUCGACGCAUACAUAUUUCGGAGUAUGCAAUGGAAAUCAGUGCCCAAAAAUACAGGUCUUGCUUUGAUUAUUCUUCAUUAAACAAUUAUGAUUAGGUUACUUUUUCUAUACAUUAAUAACUUAUAUAUAUUAUAAUUCGAAAGUAUAUCAUAAUUUAAAUUUAAAAAUCAUAUUUUACACGUGCGACACACGCAUUAAAAUUUAUCUAUGCAUAUACUAUCGAUACAUAGAAUAUUAAUUCAAAAAAUUUAAUCUAUCCGUCCUUACCAAUAUCAAAUGUUUCUCGACCAAAACAUUUCACCUCUUUCAAGUUUCAUCCACAUUGCACAAUUUCGUCACAAUACAGUAACGUAGUGAAUGCACACACAUCUACAGCUAAUUUAAAUUUCAAUGCACAAUUAAUAUCCACAAUCAUUUACAACAUCUUACCAUUACAAUUUGUGUCCCUUGAGUACGUUUUAUUACCUUUAGCAACUUGCUUGUCUAAGCACAUGAAAUCAUGCAUCUCUGCCAAUGUGUUAAUGUUGCACUUUUCCACCACAGCAAUGCCGCGCCCGCCGCCGCCACCACCACUUGCAAAAUGUCGCCUGGACGUGACGUGGAUUUAACUUCCUCGGAUAAUUCGGGAAACACCAUAGUACCCACACCAGAUCGAUAGAUUUUUAACCAUCAACCUGAGGCUGAUGUCCACCACAAAGCCUUUAAGGCUUUGGUGGGGUGGGAGGAUUAUUUUUCUCCCACCAAUUUGUUACAAUUGUGAUUUUUUAAAAAAUUCAGACGGGUGCGUGAUCUGUUCCCAUCGAUUUCUUCUUAGAUCCGGUUGGAUCUUUCCGUAAUUAGAUUAGAAUAGAGUAGCAAUAGAAGUAGGGUUGACUAUUGACAGAAAAAAAAAAAAAGAUCGAUAGAUUUUUAGUUUCUCGCCAUGUAACGAUUUAAUAACACGUGCUCGCCCAGCUUCCAUAUCCUUCUCUUUAAAAAAAAAAAUUAUUUUUCAAGGUGUGAAAUUUGGUUACAGUAGCAUUCUUGCAUUUGUUGUAAAUUCCAUUUAUUGUUGCAUAUGACAGUGGACUGGAAAUUAAAGUAUUAGAGUAGAAGAUUUCACUAAAAUUUGUUCCCUCUUUAAGACAAAAGGGUAAAAAAAUUCGUUUAGAUUAGUUGUUUUUUAAGAUAUUUUAAAAAAAUUUUACUGUAGUAAAAUUUUAAUAAUAUAUUUUAAAAAAUAUUUAAAAAUAAAAGAAUUUUAAAAAUAUAUUUCAAGAUAUUUAAAGAAUAGAAAGUUUGGAAACCAAGUCUCAGCUAAAAAUCGCGUCUGCAAUGCAUAUAGAUAUAAUAGAUUUACCUCAAGAAUUAACCUUUUGGGUAGGGAGAAUUGAUUUUGAUCACGACACAUCCAAGAUGAACCCCUUGACGAAACAGACUAGCAAUGAAUAGCCACCCUCAGUUCUUUUCAUCCACAUUCUGGCUGAUGAUUGAAUAGCGUCAAAAACGCUGUCAUAUAACUGAGAAAUUUUUUGAUAGAAUAUAAUAUAUAUGCAUAUGUAUAUUUUGCAACUUGUGAACUCAAAACCGUCUCUCUCCCCUACGGUCCCUUCUUGAUUGAGAGUGUCCUACACAUAAUUCAUGCUUGAACAAUGAGUGAUGGGCAUCUCCUAAUCCUUUUUGUUCAUUCGUAUGAAUACUUCUCCUUUGAUAUUUUCAUGUAGAGACAACUCCGUCAAAGGCAUCUUGUAAACUGUUCCUAGUAAGACCACCGAACUCUCACAAAUUGGUAGUAUUAUAUGCUUUGGAUUCGCCCUUUUGUCCGUUAUGCUUUUCUUCAACUAGAGUACACAGAAUUCAUGCAUCAGCAAGCUCUCUUUUGGUAUAAAGUUGCGAUAUUUGUGUUUACUAUGUUCUCUUUUGAUGGAUUCUCCGCUGCUUGAUAUUUUUCUCUGGUAUGGUAUUACUUUGAUGGGUUGAAGUUGAAAUUUUGAAUUUAGGCAGAAACAGCUGCAAGUGAAACUACCACAUGGGAUUUUGCUUGUUAUUUGAUUGUAAAGGUACAGUGUUUGAGGGGAAAUUUGUUGUAGUUCGAUUGAUAUGGAACCACAACUGGGAUUGAUUGAACAAUCUUUUCAUGUUAGAUACUCAGAUGGGGUUAGAGAAGCACUUGAUGAAUUGGGUGAUAGUUUCCUUAUAACUGAUCCUUCCAUUUCUGGGCACCCAAUUGUGUUUGCUUCAAGUGCUUUUCUGAAAAUAUUUGGUUAUUCUAAAGACCAGGUGAUUGGGAAGAAUGGAAGAAUGUUUCAGGGGCCUAAAACUAAUCGAAGAUCUGUUCUGGAAAUUCGUGAGGCAAUUAGGCAAGAGAAGGCUAUACAGAUUAGUUUGUUGAAUUAUAGGAAAGAUGGGACUCCAUUUUGGAUGUUGUUUCAUAUGUGUCCUGUUUUUGCUAAGGAGGAUGGAAGGGUGGUUCACUUUCUGGGAGUUCAAGUGCCUAUCUUGAGAAAGUCCAGAGUUGUGAGGAAUCCCUCAAAGUUGUGUGAAGAUGGAACUGGAUUUCUUGGGUGCUGUCGGAGAGAGGUGACUUCUGAUUCCGUCAUGGAAGUGGGACGUGGAUUGGCUCUGGAUUACUUAUUGAACUCAGAUGAUAGAGGUUUGUCUCAAAUUCUAAUGUUUCCAGUGCCAUAAUAGCAUAAUAUUGUGCUUUCAUUGCCACUUUCAGUGCUUUAGCUAGUAAAAAUUUGUGUCUUGGGGGGGUGAGGGAGGGCUUUUGUUUGUCAGUUUUGUGGAUUGUUACUCUCCUUUUUGGGAAGAAACAGUGACCCACGUACAAAUGCUGAAUAGUAAGAUGUUACUUUAUCUCACAUUUGGAGGAGUAGGAUUAUUGUAAAUCAGAUUCUCAUUUUUGUUAAACCAUGUGAUGUUUACGUUCCUUGAUUUGUAGAAUUAGAGAUCGAUCAGCCUUGUGAGGCAAGUGAGCUGGAGAAGAGGAAAGCUGCUACUGCUAUUAGCAACAUUCUCUCAGUCCUAGCUCACUAUAGUGAGAGUGAGGUCACUGGUCGAUUGGUGUGUGGAAAAGCAUGCUGCCUAUCUGGAAUGGGUCUUGGUGCCUCCAUUAAUAUAUCAUUUGGUAGAAUCAAACAAAGCUUUGUAUUGUGAGUUGUUUCAAUUUCCAACUAUUUGUAACUGUUGCUGCCCAAUAACUGUAUUCUUUCCCCAGGUUAUUGAUGUUCUGCUUUCCAUUUUUUGGAAACACUUUCUGUUUCCUUGCAGAACUGAUCCACACUUACAUGACAUGCCAAUUGUGUAUGCCAGUGAUGCCUUUCUGAAAUUGACAGGUACCUACCAAAUAUCGGUUAACUUGUUUGUUUGUCUGUCUUAAUCAAGCUCAAUCCAACCCUGACGAACUUCCACUUGGUAGAAAACUUCAAAACGAUGUCUUUAGUCUUCUCAUUUUGUUCUUGUAUCCAUGAUUCAAUAGGUUAUGCACGGCAUGAAGUAUUGGGGCGUAACUGUAGAUUUUUAAGUGGGCUGGACACAGUUUCUGCCACUCAAUUUGAGGUAACUUAUUCUCCAAUUUGGUUUUGUAGUCAAUCUUUGUUUUGACUUUGAGGGCUUCAAAAUUUUAGUAUUCUACAUAAAAGGAAAGCAAAUGAAUGUAACCGCUGGCUAAUUGUUCUUUGUCAGAUAGCAGAAUGCAUUCGAAAUGAGAGACCAUGCACUGUACAUAUCCUUAAUUACAGGUAUUUUUAAUAAUUUACUCAUUCUAAGUUAAAUAAAAGUGAAAGAUCUAGUUGAUUAGCAGCUUACUGAAUUCAUGUUUAUAGCUGAAUCAUCUGUAUUGCCAUUUUGUUAUCAGAAAAGACAAGACUUCAUUUUGGAAUUUUCUUCACAUUUCACCUGUCCGUAAUGCUACAGGAAAGGUAAUUCUUCGGCAUUCAGCAACUGUCUUUUUUUUUUGUCCCCUACUAUCACUGGGUAAACUUGCUGAUUGUCAAUUAAAGAAUGUCUUUUGUAUCACUGAGCUAGUCCUUGGUAAGAAAUUUUGAUGUUAUACAGUCUGGAUAUCUGCAUUGCUUAUGGGAUAUGGAUCUUCCACACGCACCAUAAAUUUGCCUGUAAUACUAAAGCAUCAAGACAUGACCUUUGCACUGAAUAUGACACUUAAAGGAUUACUUCCCCAUCCCACUUUGAUAGUCUUGUUUUCCAUUUUUAUCCAUUCCAAAUUAUAGUCCACUUUCAAAUUGAAGAAUAUGGUUAGCUUUUAACUUCUCUAGAAUGCACUUAUUUAAUGUACUUUGUUAUUAGUGAAUGAAAUCUACCUUAUUCAUUAAUUGCUUUGAUUCAUGCCUUGAAUGAUGCAGUUUUUCAUCAAUAUUGUUGUUGCAAUUAACGAAAAGGUAUAAUGGUUAGUUAUACUAAUAAUAUUAAUGUAAGGGUAUUUUAUGAAAAUAGUAAGCUAGAUUCACCCUUCCAAUAAAGUUGACUAAUUUUUCUUAAACUGUGUGAAGGGGAAAAAAAAAAAAACCAAAACUAUCAAAGUGGGACGGAAGGAGUAUGAUAGUUUUGUUUUUCGUGCAGAUACAAGCAAAUUCUUGGUUUUUUCUCGGUACCAUGAUAAUCCUCCUCAUCUUCUUUGUUUUCUCCUUGGUUUUUCACUUUGUUGUUUCAUUUUACCUAUUGUAUUGUUGCUUUCAGCAUAACUCAGUAAGUAGGUUCUAUAUACUAACAGUUGAUCUAUGACUCAAUGAUAAGUGAUAUUUUCAGUUAAAGGAUAUGAUAAUUGUGAAACUCCAUCAAUUUCUGUCAAUAAAGGAUUUGAAAUAUGAUAAUUGCGAUAGUGACAAUUGAAUUCAGAUUUGAAAUAUGAUAAUUGCGACAGUAAGCCAUUAGAUUCAGUAUGUCGGGAGUUCAAUUACGAAUCUACAAAGCGUAUAUCAUUGCAGAAAUUUUAUUGUUUUUCUAUCCAUACAGCUUCGCUACCAUCAGAUACACCCUCCACCAGUGAUUUAUAUUUCCAUGAAUCUUCUCCUCGUGCUUCCAUGUCAUAUUAUUUUAUUUUAUUUGUUAUUCUUUUUUUCCCAGUCUCAGACUAAUUUCCUCAUUAUUGUUAUAAAGCUUCAUUGGUGUUUAGUUCUUUAAUUUGUAUCUCUGUAGUGCAUAUGGAAUAAGAAAAUACGGUUCAAAUUGGAAGGACCUGAUUGGAUGCAAUGGUAGCAUUAUUACCUGUAUGUUUUAGAUGCAUGUCCUUUAUUGCACAUUGCACAUUUCUUGCUGCUUGAGAUAGCUGAAAUCAUUCUGUAAAGUGUACUCAAGCUUCGUAACUUUUAAUGAAUCUCCUGAUCGAUAACAUUAAGAGAUUUCUUGGACUAAUCAUUUAUAGAUAGUAGCAUCUCAAAUCCUGAAUUUAGCUCAUUUGUGAUGUUCUACUUCUGCAAUAUUCUCGAAAAUUUCGGUGUAUAUUGCAUCUAGUGUAGAUCUUACUAUGGACUCGCGCACGAUGUAUUUUGAAUUUAUUACAAACACUCUCUUACUCCUGUCAUCGCAUGAUCAACAUGGACUCUGUAAGCAUCUAACGUAGCACGUUCCCUCUUGUUGCUUGAUGCCUGCACAGGUAGCAUACUUUGUGGGGGUCCAGAUAAGUAGUAGUUGCAACAGUCAGGGUAAACAAGGGUUGAGUCCUGCGAUGGAGCAUCUUAGCGUUGUGGGCGCUGUCAAAGUGGCGGUUAGAAGCUUGUCAAUAGGUGCCAGCACCUCCUAGCAGCCCCUAGUUUUUUCUGAUUUCAUUUUUUGUUAUCGUGGAUGUUGCUGCCUGAAAAGUCAUCGAUCAAAGCGGUUUCAGGAGAUGUAGAUGUUGGGACACAUGAGAGGUAGAUUGUUGUAUAGUUUGGACUUCAUUGAACUUUGCAUUGUUUCUUAGGCGACUAAUGAUCUGGAACAGUGCCUUCAAAUUUAGUAGCGCGACUCCAGAUGAUAUUGCUUAGAGGUGCUUUGCUUCCCGUGUAAAGUUGUCUUGAUGUACAACUCUUGUACUGAGAUCUGAACUGGUCAUGUAAGAAUUUGACAGCGGUGAGUUUUCAAGAUAUGUGUCACAUUUUUAUCUGAUUGUACUACAUCCCACUGUGAUUCCAGCUAAAUGGAUUGGAAAUUUGGAACGGCAACUGUCUAUAGUCAAGACUCAUUUGGGGCAGUGUUUGUGGGACAACAAAUUUGAUUCAUGUGAGGAAAUGUGUACGUCUUUAGACUGAUUUGAUAAUCUGUCUGGGUGAAACAUGCAAAGCCAGGAAAGUUUACAGCAACCUUUUAGCAGUGUUGAUAAUCUAUAUCUGUGUCGGCCUCUUCACAUACUCGUUCAAAAUAUUGAUUACGAACUUGCGAGCACGACUAAAUUUCCUUCCAAAGAGGCAAAUCCACGAACCAAUGCAGUCCCAUUUCUCCAGCAAUAAAUAUAUUUUUGGGCUAGUCUUGAUUAACACAAUUAAGCCUACUGAUGCCCCUGAAGCUAAUCUUUGUAAAAGAACUUCCUCAUAAUUAGGCAGCAAACUUAAUCGUGACACCCUUAAUCAUAGUGAUAGCAACCCAAGAAAACGAGUUUGUCUUGGAACUUUAACAGUGACUUAAUCCAGCCAUUAUAUACACUCUAACGAGAAACCACCGCUUCUGCUCUAGUAAUCUGCUGUCACCUGUCAAUUACGAGGCUAGCUCCAUCACAUUCUCUAUCCCCAUUUUCCAGUUCUCAGUCCAUUUCCCGGCCAGAGUUUAAAUUCAAUCAUGGAAUCAACGCUCAAUUUUCUUUACCCAAGAGACUAGACUUCCUUUUUCCAAUUCAAGAAAACAAGAAAAAUGGCCUCACAAAAACACCAGUCAUUCAUCUUCUUGAUCAUCAUCAUGCUCGUUUUCCCUUUUCCCACUUAUUCAUCAAUUUCAUCCUCACCAUUUCAAGAAAAUAAUCCACUCCCAUUUUUCAUUCAUCCCUCACUACCUCCUCGGUCUGAAUUUGAACCAGAACUUCCUCAAGCGCCGUCGGAUUCGGCCAAUAUUCCUCCAUCCUCAUCAUCCGGGCCCAUAAACCCAGGUGGUUUAUGGAUUCUUUUACAAAAAAGUAUAGGCAUCUCCGCCAUGCACAUGCAGCUUCUAUACAACAACAAAGUCGUCAUCUUCGACCGGACCGACUUCGGCAGGUCCAAUAUCUCCCUCCCGUUUGGAAGAUGCCGGUUCAGCGUCGACGGCAAACUUCGGAUCGACUGCACUGCUCAUUCAGUCAUUUACGACAUUGUCACUAACACUUUUCGACCCCUCAUGGUCCAAACUGAUGUCUGGUGCUCCUCCGCCGCCGUCAACCCAGAUGGAGUCCUUGUCCAGACAGGCGGCUACCGCGGCGGUGCCGAUAAAAUACGGUUGUUCACCCCAUGCAACAACGAUUUCUGUGAUUGGAUUGAACUCCCACAGAACUUGACCGUUAGAAGAUGGUAUGCCUCCAACCAGAUUCUCCCCGACGGCAGGAUUAUCAUCGUAGGUGGCCGGAGAGCUUUUAGCUAUGAGUUCUUUCCCAAGAACUCGGUGUUUUUCAGCAAUGCUGAGGUUUACUGGCUACAAUUCUUGAAGGAAACGUCCGACCCGAGAGAGGAGAACAAUCUCUACCCGUUCUUGCAUCUACUACCAGACGGAAAUCUCUUUGUUUUCGCCAACCAGCAUUCGGUUAUAUUGGAUUACGUUAAUAACAAGAUUUUAAGAAAAUUUCCCCCGAUUCCUGGCGAAAAAAGGUCUUAUCCGUCAACGGGCUCGUCGGUGUUGUUGCCACUCCGGUUACCCGGAAGUGGUUCGCGAUUGGGGUCGCCGUCGCCGGAGGUGGAGGUGAUGAUCUGCGGUGGAGCUAAUGGCGGUUCGUAUAUUCAAGCUAGGCUGGGUGUGUACGUGGCAGCUUCUAAGAGUUGUGGGCGGUUGAGGGUCACGGAUCCGGAUCCUGAAUGGGAGAUGGAAACAAUGCCUAUGAAUCGGGUCAUGCCCGAUAUGCUGUUGCUACCCACGGGUGAUGUGCUUAUCUUGAACGGCGCAUCAAAAGGAUCGGCCGGGUGGGAAUUAGCGGAUGACCCGGUUUUGCACCCGGUCCUUUACAGACCCAGUGAGAUGGAUCCGCAACAGAGAUUUACUGUGCUCAACCCCACAGUAAACCCAAGGCUCUACCACUCAGCUGCUGUCCUGCUGCCAGACGGAAGAGUUCUAGUAGGUGGAAGUAAUCCUCAUGCGUUGUACAGGUUUACCGGAGUAAAGUACCCCACAGAUUUGACUUUAGAGGCAUUUUUGCCACCUUACUUGGGCCCACAAUACUCCCAAUUGCGGCCUUCAAUUUUGACCUUCGAGGGUCCCACGGAUAAUAUCAUAUCCUACGGUCAGCAGUUCUCCAUCACGUUUACUCUCGGUUUGCACCCUCCCGGUCAAGAUUUCAGAGUUACUAUGAUUGCGCCAUCUUUUACCACGCAUUCUUUUGCAAUGAAUCAACGGCUGGUGAUGUUGGAUGUGGUUGGGUACCAGCAGCUGUCUGCAUUUGCGUUCAAGGUUACCGUGUGUGCACCUCCAACAAGAAAUAUUGCACCCCCAGGAUACUACAUGACGUUUGCUGUUAAUGGGGGCAUACCAUCUACUGGUGUUUGGAUAAGAAUGAAAUGAUUAUCAGAUCAAAUUUUGUUCCUAUGGCUUUUAGUGAAGAGAUUAUUUUGGUGCAGUAAACUCUACUCUUUUUAUUUUUUAUUUUUUAUUUUUUAUUUUCUUCUUAGCAUUAGAUAAGAAAAACUUAGUCAUGUUAUGUAGUGUAACAUAAGCUAGCUGUCUCUUAAAAAAUUAAUUUCCCACUUUCAUAUAGGAGUACUAUCUCAAACUAAGGUCUCGUUUGGAUUGCAUUUUUCAUGAAAAAAUUACUGUAGCGAUUUGAUGUAUGUGAGGGAAAAAGGUACCUUCUCUGUCCCACUUUGAUAGUUUUGGUUCUUUUUUCACACAAUUUAAGAAAAAGUAGUUAAUUUUGUUAAAACAAUCAAUUUAGGUAGCUAUUUUAUUAAAAUAUCCUCACAUUAAUUAAAAUAUAACUUUAUGAGAACUUGAAUUGAUGAUAAAAAAUGAAUAAAUUCUUAUUAAAUGGGGUAAAUUUAUAAUAACAAUAACUUACAUUGAACGAGGGUAUUAGUGGGCGAAAGCAAUCCCACCGGGAGCUAUAAAUUUGAGGGGGUAAAAUAUCCUAAACUACAUAAAGCGCCGAAGGUGCUGCUACAGUCAACUUGGUUUCAAUGCAAUUCUGUUGGUGAUUUCGUCCUUUUUUGUCUUUUCACAGGUUCCAUGCAGCCCCUUUGGCUGCUGGUGGGCUUUUCCUCAUUUCUGCUUUUGUUCCCUUCUUCCGAUUGUGCCCUUUUCUCCUGGUUCCUUUGUAAUUUUGUGGCCAAUUUUGUCCUUUUGUUUCUACUGCAUCUUCCACUGCUGCAAUUGUGUUUGCAAUCGAUUUUGUCCUUUGUUAUCUGACUUUAUUAACAAAAAUAUUAAUUUAUCGAUUUCAUUUAUUAACUUCCUUCAACAAAAAUAUAAUUCUCACAAAUAUAAUUCUCACAAAAAUAUAAUUAACUUCCUUUCAAAAUAUAAUUCUCACAAAAAUCUCAAUUUCCUAACUUUGUAUUAACGUGUCUUUCUUUAAAAUAUAAUUCCCUCUGCUCUUUUACAUUUAUUAACUUUCUCCAAAAUAUAUAUUUAUUAACAAAGAUAUUAAUUUUCUAAAAAAUAUGCGAAUCGAUAAAAAUUCUGUGUGCAUCUAAUAUAUACAGAACAAUACAAAUUCUAUGUGUUACGUUAUGCUACUUCAUAUUAACAGAUAAUGAGUGUUAUUCAAGUCAGCAAAUUGUAAUUUAAAUUUCCCUUACGCAUAAGUCCAUGUGCUAUUCGUUCAUUUAAAGUAAGAUAUUGAUUAAUCAAUAAAUAAAUUACUUCAUCAUUAAAUAGAUAUUUAUUCAUGUAUGCUAUUCAAUCAAGCAUUAUUAAUUUUCGAUAUCAAUGAAGUAACGGACUCUUCGAAAUUGUGUUAUCUUUAGAUUUUGGAAUCUUAUUAAUUUUCAAAAAAUUAAUGCAAGUAUUAAAUUUUGUCUGCAUCUAAUAAAUAUAAAUCAAUUGUGCCGCUUUGUAUUUGCUUGCAUUAAUACGACUAAUUGUUUUUAAAAAUACAGGAUAAUUUCCCUCUAUUUCAAAAAUGUUACUUCGAUAAUAUUUCAAAAUUUUCAAAAUUCAAAUAUAUACCUUUGAAAAUCAAAAUAAAAAAGACAAACUUUUCUCUAAAACUAUAACAAAGAUAACCAAACUACCAAAAAUUUAUAGACAAAUACUUAAAACCGCACCCCUAUAUAUAUAGCAAAAAUAUACAUGAUGCAACUCAAAAAAACAUUAUCAUAUUGACACAUGAAUCACAAGACAAAUAGGAACACCACAAAUAUAACAAACAAACAAAAACUAGAAAAGAUAGACACGCUAAAACAAUAUUAAACAAUCGUACAAACUCAAAUAAAAUAUUAAAUAUACAUACACACACGUAUAUAUACAUAUAUAAAGAAAUAAAUAAUAAAAAUAUAACAAACAAACAAAACCACAAAAAAAUUAAACCAUCAUAUCUCCUAAAUAAAAUAUUAAACACACAUGCGCAUAUAUAUACAUAUAUAUAUAUAUAUGCACACAUAUUACAAAAUAUAUCGUAUACCUAUAUAUAUAUUAAUACAAAAUUCACUACAACUUUGAGUACCAUAAAAUAAGUCGCAUAAACAUCAAACAAUAAAUAUUUAAAAAUUCUACUAUAAAUUACAAUGAUUAAACUCUAUAAUUUUCAUGUGCAAUCAUUUCUAUUUCUUAUAAAAAAAAAAAUUAUACACGUCACCUUACUUUCAAUAAUAUCCAUUUAUUACUAAACUAUUAAUAUAAAAUCUCUUUGCUCUCAAAAUUUAUAUUAUCCUUUAACUAUUCGGAUUCUAUUAAUUAAAAAAAUACAGCUUCCAUAUAUUUCAAUCACAUUCAUUCAUAACUAAAUCAAUAUCAUCUUUACUUAUCGAAAAAACCUACUUAAUGAAUAAACACAUAUUUUACCAAGAUAUAGUAUCAAAUUAUUCCAAAUUAUUAAUUUAUCUCAUCACACAACACCCAAACUAUAUCAAAUUUGGCCAAAAAAAAUAUCUAUUAUCCAUUUAUUUUUUAACAAACUUCCUAUUCUUUUAUAUCCUUUUUCAUAGACUUUUCCACUGCAACAAUGCACACUUUCUCAUCCUCGCUAUCCAAAUUAUGAAAAUAUCAUCAUCCUAAAAUACAUAAACUACCUAUGCCCAAAGUACAAUAAAUUAUAACACUCUCAAUGUAAUUCUCCACCUAAUUUUUCAUCCUAUGAACUUUAAAAAAUUAAUAUAUAUUCCAUUAAUUUAAAUAAUAUUUACUUAUCACUAAAUUAAAAUUAAAAAACAAAAUUUUUUGAAACCAAUAUUAUCCAUCAAAUCUUUAGAUCAUAUUAAUGUUAAAAAACACAAUACAAAUCACAUCAAUUUUACUAUAUCUAUUUAUAAAUAAAUCAAUCCAAUAUAUCACUUCACUAUCCACUAUUUCAACUCUAUUAUCAUAUAAAAUACUAUAAAUUUAUGUUAUUAAAUAAAUCUUACAUUAGCCUAAGACAGUUAAUAAUGGGCACCCGCGGAACCGCGGGGCACCAAGCCUAGUCCAACUAAUACGAGCCUGGAAGCCUUUUCCCCGCAUUACUUGGACCCACAGUUUGAUGAUGUACGGCCUUCAAUUUCUUCCAUUGAGGGGGCCCCAGGAAAUGUGAAUGUGAUAUCCUACGGCCAGCAGUUGUCUGUGAAGCUUGAUCUGAAGCAUUUGAAUCCUGGUCGAGGGUUUGACGUAACCUUGAUUGCACCAUCAUUUACAACACACUCCUUUGCGAUGAAUCAACGGCUGUUGGUGUUGGACUGUGCUAGUGUAGAGGAGAUUUCAAAUGGGGUGUACAAUAUGACGGUGUAUGCGCCACCAACCAAAAACAUUGCGCCCCCGGGCUAUUAUAUGAUGUUUGUGGUCCAUGAUGGUAUUCCAUCUCCUGGAGCCUGGGCCAAAUUGGAAUAGUAAUUGAUUUUGUUGUCCGCGUGUCAUGCAUCUUUUGUGGUUGGAAAGUGUAAUUGUGGAGAGCAGCUUUGCAAUGGAAGAAGAUAAUUGGAAAAUUUUUCAAGCAUUUUUGUCAUUUUAAUGUUUUGUCCGUGUUGAUUUUAAUGUUUAAACUCAUUAAUUAUUGUUUCUAUCAUAGAAGUAAUAUUAUAAUAAUAGGAUGGAAGCACACAGCCAAAAAAGAUAAGCUAUCAUUCAAGCUUUUGACCAAUUCAAAAUUGGAAAUGACUAUGGUUUGUCUGUAUUCAUAAUAUUGAUUAUCUAAUUGAUCCAUCUUGUACCAAUUGUGGUUGGAGAAUUUAAUUUGGUGGAAAUUAAAAUUUCAACCAAAGGAAAAAGCGGAAUUAAAUCAUAGCAGCUAAAACACAUCAUUAAAAGUAAAAACAGCUUCCAUUAAAGCUCUUAACCAAUAAUUCAAAUCGGACAAUUAUAUGCGUUUGCCAUCAGAAGGAGACAAAGACGCAUUGAUUAUAAAAUCUACGUCUGUUUAGAUUUCGUUGUAGUUGGAGAAUAUAUAUAAAUUUGGUGGAGGACAGCAAUUUUGGAAGGACGGAAAAUUCAUUCAAGCGUUACAGUUUCUUUGCGUGUCAUUUUUAAAGAUGUUAUGAAAAUACUAGAAGCCAAUGAAUAAAUAAAUGAUAAGGGUCUUAAGAAAGCUUUAAUCCAUUUCACGCGGGGCAAGCCAAAAAAAUUUUUUUUUUUUUUGUGAUGGAAAAAGAUGACAAGAAAAAAUUGGUUUAGUGUUUGACAUAUUAGACCUCAUGAAGUGAAACACUACUGAUAGUCUCUAAGGAAGUACUACAAGAUUAAGUAAGAGCAAAUAUUGAGAAUUAUUUUGAAUUAUUAUGGAAUAAAAUUCAAAAUUUAUUUCUAUAUCGAUCAUUUCUUCUAUUUUUAAAUUUAUUGAAUCUAUUCUUGAUUUUAGAGCAAAGAAUAAGCAUACAAACUAAAUGUUUUGUCUUUGCUUUACAUUUAACUCAUUAGAUUUGGUAAUAGAUUCAUUCACAUAGUAUCUUGAACAACUGAAAAUAAAAACGUUAUUAUUACCAAAUUACUUUAAAAAAAAAUCUUUUUUGAUUCAAAUAAGUUUAAAAACAAAAGAAUAAAGAGCUGAAAGUAAGAAAUUAUCAAUCAUUCAUCUAAUGAUAGCAAAGGUAGAAUUUGUGGGGAAAAAAAAUGCGCUUGCAUAAUUUGCCAGAAAAGCGCCAAACAAAGCAAGAACAAAGGUAAGAGUAAGAACACAUGGAGAUGCGGGGUAUCGAUCCCCGUACCUCUCGCAUGCUAAGCGAGCGCUCUACCAUCUGAGCUACAUCCCCAUGUUGAGGUUUUUUUUUUAUCCAUAAUAAAACGAGUUCUGCGAGCCACGUGACAAGCUGAUUAGCAUAUUAGGACAAAGUUGCUUGUAGUAAAAAUACUCCUAAUGCAUAGCGUGAAAUGCACAAAAAAUGCCAACUAUCACUUACAUUGCAUAAGUUCUGAGAUUGUGUAAGUUUCCAAGUAGUAAAUAGAUAAACGAAAAAGUUUAUCUGACUUUGGCAAAAAUUAUCUUAAAAUUUUUAAGAGUUUAAAAAAUGUUUCAAAAAAUAAGGCAAUUACAGACUAUUGUAUAUCUAUUUGUCACUAUUUGGAUACUCAUUUUGGAAAAAGGUUUCUUUAAUGAAAAUAAUAAUAAAUUAAUUUUUCACUCAUUUUUUUAAUUUGUAAUAUUUUUAAAUAAUAGGUACUCAUAGAUGAUGUAUGAAAUGUAGUGGUUACAAUAAUUUAUAAGAAUAGGUACUCAUAAGAGAUGUAACAAGCCAAAAUUUGCCCUUAGUGGAGACUCCUAGCUCCACCAUUCAUGCUCUUCAAUCUUAACUAUCAGUGGUUACAUUCUAUUUUAUUUAAAAUUUUUUUGAAAGCAAUACUAUAAAAAAAAUACUUAUUAACAUAUUACAAAUUCCUGAUUCCUUCCUUUCAUGAUCUUCAAGACACAUUCUUUUCUUUUUGCACAACCUUCAACAGAAUGUACUUUUCAUUUCAACAUUGACAAGUACAUUUAUGAAGUCCCCUUUUUUUUUUUUUUUUAUCACUAGUAUACUUACAAAUAUAUAUAAAAUCUUUAUAAAUAUAAUUAUAAAUUUCUGAUUUCCCUUUCUUCUUUCAUGAUCUUUAAUAGACUAUCUCUUCUCCAAUGAUCCAACUUUUCAGAAUUCUGCAGAAAAGUACUCUUCGUGGAUGCUAUUGAUAAUAUGUUAAAAUUUUGAAUUUUUCAAAAAAUUUUCAAUCUUAUGGAGAAAUACUAACAAUAUUAUAUCACAAAUAUAUCAUAUAACAGUUCUUCUUUUAUGAUUUCAAGAAAACUGCCUGUUCUUCAACAAAUCAAGAAUUCCUCAAACCAAACGAUACGGAUGAAUUUUAAAUGUUUCGUCAAAUUCCUCAAACCAAACGAAACAUGUAAUGUAGUAUAAAUAUAUCGUGCAGCAAUGGCUAAUCAAAAUUAGGACACUGUUGUGAUCGAUCAGCAGUCAGAGAUAGCCUUCUACUAGUACUGAACCUGAAGUCCAAUCUCCUCAAAAUUUCAAGAAAUGGUGGCCACAUCGCUAAAUUAAAACAAUGAUUUUAAUGAGAGUGCCUCAGACGGCAUAGCGGACAAUGCUCUGACCUUGCAAUGAACGCCGUAAUUGUAGAUACAUCAAAGGUCACUUCAAAAAAUAUCGUGGAUGGUGGUAUCAGGAAGACGAUAACCUGGUUGCAGCCUGGGUUGUGCAGGAAGGCUUUGGUAUUUAGAUGCAGAGACAAAUUGCAAAAUUAUCUCAAUUUUCAAAUAUAUAGUAAUACUAUUCCUCUUGCUGACUCUACGAUGUGAACAACCAAAUGCAGCAAAUCAUUGGACAUAUUUACAGCCACCGGACUGUCUUCCUAUACUCUUAACCUUAAUUCUCACAGUAAACUAUAUAUGACUUAAAAUUUGGGAGUUCACUUUUUACAUUUCAGGAUUGCCCAUUAGUUUUCACGAUUGCCCAUUAGUUAGGGGCCCUACCUGAUCUAUAUUUGUAUCGCAUUGCCCAAAAUAGAUAGUGCAAGAAAUUCAGACCACUUAGGACACACAUCACCCAGUAAAAUCUGUCCAAGUGAUAGUGAUUCAAGUUGCUCCCUGACAGCCACGGCUUGUGAUUGGAGUUUCCUGUGGCACUGUUAACAAUUGAGACAAUCACAGUGCUGAGAUAGUAUCCCAUUGCCAGUGAAGCCCAGGAAAGAGAGGUAGCCAGAGAUCUCAUGCUACUCGGAGCUUCUGUGAAGAAAAAUUCCAAUAAUCCUGCUAAUGUGAAAAGAUCAGCUGAUCCCAGGAACAAGUAUUGGAAAGCAAUCCAGAAAAAUGUGAGGGGCAAUGGCGUGGUGGUGUCAAGUAAUCCAGUAUCCAUAGCUACUCUCUUCCGCUUGAUUUCAACUAUAGCUGCCACUGCCAUUGCUAGAAUGGAUAGGACUAAUCCAAUGCCAAUGCGUUGAAGAUGACUGAUUCCCAUCUCUGUUUUUGUGGCUCUACGAGCAAAGGGGAUGAUGCAAUGGUCGUAUACUGGUGCUAGGAACAUCAUGAAGAUUACAGGGAAAAUUGGAAGAGAUGCCGGAGGGACUUUUAAGGAGCCAAGUUUAGUGUUCAUGGUUGCAGCUUGUUGAACUGAGAACGUGGACAGUUGGGCAAGGCAGCAGUUCAGAAUUAUGGUACAAGCAAAGAUGGGGAGGAUUUUAAUCACAACCUUGACUUCUUCCACUUGUUGCACUGAGCAGUCUAGUGCACCAGCAGUCGAGUUGUCUCCCACUGCUCUGUUGAGGAACUGGAGACUUUUUGAUGGAGUCUCCUGGGUUGGUUCAACUGUUUUACUCUUUAUAUUUCCACCUUCUUCCUCAGAUGCUGGAGUUGGAGUAGGACUUGUUGCCAUGCUAGCUAUAGCAUUGUUUGAGCCCCUUGAUUUGAAUGAAUUCAGCAGUGCGGCGAGCAAAACCUGUUCAUUCAAGCAAUGUGUUUAUUAGGAAAAUGUAGUUGACCUGCACGUGAGGUCGUAGUAGUUUUGAACCACAAUCUUUUUUUUUUUUUUUUUCAUUUUCUUCUUUUUCCAAAAUUAGAAGUUCGAACCAGUUGAAUCCAUGAGGAUUCCAGAUUUAUGUGGCAUCAGAGUUAAAGUGAAUAAACUAGUAGUAUUAAGCUGACUAUUUGGGCAGCGUUUUAAGGUUCAAACGCUAGCAUUGCUCUUAAACUGACCUUGACUAUUGUGGUAAGCGGACUUCCAUUUGGUAUCUUGUUUCUGUAAUAAGUCGAUCCCAGGAGGAAAAUUGGAAUUGACAACAAUAUUGCAAAAGUGGAGAUCCCAAAUCCCCAUUGCCACCCCUUAUUGUCCUCAACCCACACCACAAGGGUCACGGCAAUCAAAGCUCCACACGAGAGGCAAAACACGAAGUAAUUGAAGAAUGUGGAUCUUUGCUUCCUGCCCUUAGGGCUGUCCUCGUCAAACUGCUCCGCCCCAUGUGCCGGUAGCGACCCUUUGAUGCCUCCAACCCCCAAUGCCACCAGAUAUAGGCCGAUGAAUAACAUAGCAGCUUUUGCACCAUGAACUUUUUGGCAUGGAAUGCUAGGGGUUGCAGGGUCACAUUUUGGUGGCUUUAGAGAUGGCGAGUGAGCUUGCACCGUCAGUAUCACCAAGCCCUGAUACAACAGUCAAAUAAAUGGUGAGGCCAGGAAGAUGAUCGUACGUAAACAUCUGAUCACCGGGAAUUCAAAGAGAUGAUAUGUAUAUUUCCUAGUAUCAAAUUUACGCUAGUUCAAUUCCUGAGCCCGGGGUUCAUUUUGCUUCCUAUGUUGACAGUUGUUAUGGGACAGGACAUGCAACUUUUGAAGGCUCAGAAUUCGGGCUGACCUGCUCGUAUGAUUGGCUCCUCUGACCUAAACUAGUAGUGCGUCCUAGGUUUCGCAUCGUAAGCCCGUGUUGAGGGGUUCUUUCCACAAUCUUCACAGACGAAGGGUGCAAUAAUUAUAAAAGCUUCCCAACCUCUCACGGGAAAGGGAACUCAAGAUGUACUUUUAGCUCCAUGCAGUUUACCCUUUAAUUUGGGUACAAUUACAUAUUCCCCCCAACUUCAGGUGUUUACAUGUAGAAAGCGACGCAUCAAACGAGCAAAUACGACUUGGUUUUGGCGGUGGUCGAACCAAAAUUUCUCCAAGGGUAGGGUAACAUCAAACCGACUAGACACAAACCGUGGCGAGAGGUGUCCCGUUUGAUAAUCCAAUUCUAAUAAUAUUUAAAUUUAAUAAAUUUAGCAUAUUCAGACGAGUUUGAUAACAAAAAAAAAAAAAUUUAAAUAUUUAAAUUAAGUAAUCGAUACUGAACUUUCUAGAUAAAAUUAACUCCUAAAAGUGAGUGAUAAGUGAUACACUAAAAUAUAGUACCAAAUUUAACAAUUCAGCGAGUUUUACCGAGCACCCUUAAUAUUAAGUAUGACUCUAUGGGACGGAGUGUCCGGGGGCUCACGUGCAUGAUGCAACUAGACCAGGAGGAUUUUCGUUUUCUGUAGCUGGGGUCCGGUCCAUUCGAUGAUGGGGGCGUUUCACCGAGUGGUCAUCAACUCAAACAGCUGUCACCUUUCGCAUGAUAUCAUGUGGCCUUGCUUAUCAGAAAGUCACAAUAAUAAUAAUAAUACUCCAUAGGAAGAGAAGAAGGAAAAAAGAGAAUCCUGUGGCCUUUCUCUGAGGCCAAGUUAUUCCAUUGGACUAGCGCUCCGAAUAAGGAUAAUUAACCCUGACAUGUCACCGUAAUGGUGUUGCCUCUCAGAAAUGGAAUGUUAUGUGGCUCUGUCCUAAUGGCAGUGUAACCGAGGCAUGGGGUGUACCACUCAAAACAACACACCUGUUUCGCCAUCCUCCAGCCUACGGGUGCAUGUUGAGAGUAUCUUACCGCAAUGGCUGGCUAAUCUUCUAAUCUCAGCGUAUGGAACCGAGCAUUUAGAUACGCGAUAGACACUGUUCAGCAAGCAUGAUAAAUUCUUUGAAUUAGCUGACCUGGAUUAUUUGUCUUUGCUUAUAACAGACCCGCAGACGAUCAGCCACUCUACAUCUUUUGAUGACAAGAGAUUUUCGACAAAAACAACUGACACAUCAUCACCAUGCAUAUAUAUAUAUAUAUAUAUAUAUAUAUGUGGUGGUUUUGCAGCCCACUUGAUGCUGCUUCAUCCAAUCAGAGAUAUGUCGGACCAACAAGAUUCCAAUCCAUCUUGUACAUUUGGAUGGUCGCAGAACACUCCUCUAAUUACUUGGAAGAACAAUUCAAUUGGGCAUGUCGUGCGAUUCAAUUGGUAGAAUUGUAAGAUUUGGAACGCCGCGCCCAAUGUAUGAUCGCCGAAAGAAAAACAUGAAUCGCUCGCUGGCCAUCGUGGCGAAUUUAUCUUAAAGAAGAAAGAAGACAAGAUGGUUGAUUGAAAUGAUUGCAUGAGGGGAGUUGUCUUCACGGAAUAAGAAACUGGAAAAGGGACAGCCCGACAAAACAAAAUAGGGCAAAAAUUUUAUGUGACGCUGAGGCUAAGAAAGCGUGCAUGCGGUAGAAUGGGGAGGGGCCGCAGCUGGCUUCGGUGGUAAGACGUUAUUGGUGACAAAAAUACUAACGCCACAAAACAAAAAUGGGUAUGUUAUGUAUACGCUGCCUUUUCAGCGGAAAUUACGAUAAUGAAGUUUGCUUUCGUCCUUCCUGGCAUGACGCACCCUGAAUUUUACACAAGAAUAGGAACAUACCAUGCAAUGCAUGAAUUGGAAUCACAAUGCAUGUCUUUUACGUAUUUAAAGAAAUCCUCAAAGUUAAAUUUCACGUAAUUAUUAUUCAUUCAACGUUUGUUUAUCUAUCGCGUAUAUAUAAUUAGUAUAAAAAAAUUAAUUUUUAUGUAUAUAUAAAUAUUGAUAAGUGAAAAUUUUUGAAUUCAACCCUUUUAUUUAUAAUAUAAUUUCUUUUAUCUUAUCAUUUAAUCUAAUUCUCUCCAGAGCACUUAUGGAUUUUAAUCCUUUAAAAAUGAUAAUUUUUUUUUUAAAAAAAAAUUUUGCCAUCUCAAAGAGAUAGAUGAUCGAGACAUGCAUGAUUAGGAUUCUAAAGGUAUUUUUAUUUUUAUUGGCUAUCGAACUUGGAAAUUAUUAUGUCAACUUCCACACAGACCCAAAAGGAGGGGAGGACGAAAAGGACCCUUUUACAAAAAGGGUGUAAUUGUUGCCCAUCAAGGUGAAGACACGUGAAAUACCGUCUAUCAAGCUUGACUUUUGAACUGGCUGUGAACUCGAUGACCCAUUUUUUUUUUUUCUUUUUUCUUUCUAUUUUCUCAUAAAUUCACUUCCUAUCAAGUGCAGUAGUUGACUUUGAAUUUCCCGUCCCCAGGAUCCUGCUCAGAAAGAUUAAAAUGAAAAUCCUAAGCUUGAAGUGUUAUUGGCCUGAACCAAAUCUGAUAAAUCUUAGGAUUUCCACUGUGGCAUGGCAUUUGUCACAUUUUAGUUCUUGUCCCUUUGGCUGAGGGGGCCGGAAAGUUGAGUCAUCAUGCUAUAGCUAGCAGAAAUUUGGUUUUCUUUAAAGCUAAGUGGCUGGAGUCAUUGACAACUUGCAAGGUGGAAUAUGUUGAACUUGAGAGCAAUUGAAGACUAGUGAAUCUAUGUAACUAUUAUGUGUGGAGCCAAGAAAUUACAGCAGACCAAUCACUCCUUGUUUUUUUUUUUUUUUUCCUUCUUCUUCUUUUAAAUAAAUUAAAGCAGCCUGUUGUUGGUCGAUAAAGAAGGAAGAACUUAUUCAAGAAAAAAAAAAAAGGAUGGUGGUUGAUUACCAGGAAUUCAAUGAGGGCACCUAUGAGAUAGAUGAAAUAAGUGGUGAAGAAGGCAUCGGACAAGAACCCUCCAACAAGGGCAAGCAGGAAAGCGGUGCCCAUGAAAUUUGUCACAGAAUUCGCUGAAUUUGAUGGUGAGAAGUGCAUGUAUUCCGAGAAAUACAGUACCAAGUUGCUUGCAUUCGCCAGAUAUGCUAAAUUCUCCAACACCUCAGCCACUAUACAAAAAAGGAAAAAAAGUUGUCCAUAAUAAUCAACACAAAAAGCAUUAAUAUGUUGUACUCAAACAAGAAUUCAUACUCGCACAGCAUGCACAAUGGUAAACCAAAGUACGCCUGCAGAUAAAAAAAAAAAGUAGUAUGGCACUAUAUGAAUAAAUAAAUGAGGUAAUGGAACUACGAUUUAAUCAAAGUCCCAUCAUAGAGAGUCCGUCCCUUUUCCGACCACAAUACAAUAGUGGCAGUGCAUUUAUAGGUUUGUAUUCACCGAGGCAAGGAAAAUUAGGACACAUGCAAGAACAGGUAUCGGUGCUUGGAAGAUUUUUCCUUACCUAAGACGAAGGAUGCAGCUACCAUGCCACCAUGGCGGCCUUUGAGUGCGGGCCUGUUUCUCCAACUUACAUACCCUUCCCAUGAGCCCGGCUGCUGGUUUUCCACUUCCUGCAGAAAACUCCACGAGAUAAGCACGUCGCUUUUUUUCUUUCCCAAAGGUUCAAAGCGAAGGGAGGAGGAGGAUGAAGAACAACUAACCAUUUCUUUUUUCUCUGCUGCAGAGGAAAAUUGAAGCCAAGAAAGGAAGAGGGGGACUGGGUGAAGAGGAGGAGGAGGGAAGGGGGGGAUCAAACGUGAGAAAUUUGAAGAGUUGAGAGACAAGAAAGGGUCCAACUUAGAGAGAACCGUCUAGAGUUCAGACCCUUUAGUAGAAAAAGCCUCUAACCCCUUAAAGCUCCUUUUAUACUAGUCUGAUCACAAAUCUUUAACAACUCUAGCGUUGUUUUAUUUUGGUCAUGUGUUAUUAAUCUUUGUUUAGGCACUCAAGUAUCCACUUUUAAGGGAGAACACAGAAUACACUGUAGAUAACAGAGACAGAUAAUGAAGGUGUGAACUGGGAUUCCCUUGGGUUAUAAGGAAAUGUAUAUAUCUAUGUCCUGAAUAGAAGGGAGAAGAGAAAAAAAAUAUUAAGCAAAACAUGAAUCUCCUCCUACCAUUUUUUUUUUUUUUUUUUGCCUCUUUGGUAAGUAAUCUCCUCCUGCCAUACCCGCUGAGACAUAAGUAUUGUUAUGAGUUGUUUGACCAGGCAGGAAGCAGAACAAUAAAUGAUAACGCUUGAUAGCGCAACAACCCAUCAACGCCAUUAUGGUAAAUGUAACUCACAAGACAUAACAGCUUUUUAAUUCGUUUGCCGAUAUUAUUGAAUUUUACUCCUCCUUUGUGGAGUUACCCUGAAAUGUGGAUACAAACGAAGAAUUGGAUUCUUUAAGCCUCCACACACGCGCAGCAAACCUGCAACAUGAUCCCCUCCUUUAAGUUGGUCAUGACUUAUCACAUGGGAAUCCAUGGGGUAGUUGAUAGAUAAAGAUUGAACUCUUUUCAUCAAUGGUCAAUAUUGUCUAUCUAACUCCCUAAUCUACGACCCUCCAAAGAAAGAAAGAAAAAAAUCCCUAGUCUUGCAUUCUAGCCGUCUGAUUAAGAACUCAAUUUUAGCUCAUUAUUUUGGUUUCACUUUCUUUUUUUCUUAAAUUCUUUUUCUGCAUUGAACGACGGAGACUAAUAUCCAUAAUCGAUAAGGGGGUAUUAAUUUUCUCAUUAAGGAUUGGCUGUUGAUACUUGCGUUUGAGGUGAGAGAUGUGGGGGGGGGGGGGAGGAAUAAAAGGGGCUCAUUAAAAAAUAAAAUCAUGUUUCUUUUUUGGUCAAAGACCACAAAGGAAUCCAAAUUGCAUGUUAAAAAAAAAAAAAAAGUAGGUUAACUUGAUUUGUACAAACCGGACAUUAUCGGUGUUCAAAAAGGAACGGUCAUGGAGGACCAAAAGUCACGUCCAUUUGGCUUUUAAAGAGAGCAUACCAACUAACCAAACCUCCUCCACUUACCUCUGCCAGUGCCGAAACUCACCUACGCAUUUAAUUUUUAGUCUUCAAUUUAGCUUCAAAACUCAAGAGUUAAAUAGCAAGAAACACAAAGUCAGACUUCUUUCCCACAAGGCUGUAGUCCGCGUAUAGUUGCUAACACAACUGUUGGAUCCUGUUUGGCACGACAUUGCAGAUAUUCUAAUAUUUCUAUUCUGACAAGAUUAUUGUUUGUCCAUCUUAAGAUGGAGGAUCGAUUCAGUGGCGGGAGAAUUUUAACUACUACCCGUUGAUGUGGAUAUGUGAAUGCAAAUUGUUAGUUGUCGGGAGAAGAAAUUAGGGCCUUGUUGGGCACACAAGUUUUUUGCUAAGUUUGUUGCUAUAAGUUUUUUAAAAACUUUAAUAGUUAAAGUAACCUCAAAAAACUUCUCAAAGUUUUUAAACUAUACACUUCAAAAUAUUCAAAAAAACAAAAUGCGUUUCAAAUUUUUUUUUUUAAAAACCUCUACAAUAAGUUACAAUAAAGUUUUAGGCAAACACCAAAAAAAUUCACUUGUCAAACGGGGCCUAGAUUAUUUUUACCAAUUAUCGAUUAACUGAAAUAAAUUUUUAAUCAGUGGAGGGUUGGUGAUGCAUCAGCAAAUGUGGUAACAAAUUAUUUGUCAAAAGAUUUUUACGGAAAUAAUCUUUCUUUUUUAAGUGUCGUUUAGUUUUGGGAAACCUCAUAAAUUUUAAUGCACGAAGGAAGAUUAGUUUCUUAUUUAAUUCACAGUAUGGAUAGUACUUCAUAGGGGUGGGUACAAAUCAGGUAUCCACUCCGUUGAGCAUUUGGAUGAUCCGAUCAUGUCAGGCCAACAAUUUUACAAAUGAAACUUGUAAACAAAUAGUCUCUCAUAUUUUCAAAGAGCAUUUGCGCGAUGAAAUUACUUGAUUAACUCUAAAAAUAUUAUUUUAUAGCAUAUAUAUAUAUAUAAUGAAUUUUUUUUAAUAUAUAUAUAUAUAUAUGCGUCGCGAAUCGGGUACCUUGGAGUUCUUAAUCUCAUGGCCCUGAUCCAUCCUACAUAUAAGCAGGUGAUUGAUCCUCUUUUGUCCCAAUCAAAUAAUGCAGAUCAUGUAUCUUAUUUUUCGGAUUGGAUCGAAUCAGAUAUUAUGGGUAUUUUUGCCCACUCCUAGGACCAUUUCACUAAAUAAGUACCUAUCAUGCGUCAGCUCCAAUGAUGUACAUCGAGUAGUUCCUUACGUUAUGUCUACAAUUUGAAUAAGAUACCAAGGUUUUAACCUAGAAAAUCACUCUUUGAAAAAGCUUAACAAAAAUAAUAAAGGAUUUGCUAAUUAAAUGGUGUAGUUCCAAAAUGAUAUAUUUCACUUCGUUCACCUCAUGCCUGGUGAAUUAAUAUGUGAACUGUUACAUCAGUGCAUAUUUCAUGAAAAAAUAAAAUAAAAUUGACUGCUUUAGUUUCACAAAAAUUGAGAUUUCGUGCAUUAUGCUCCCUGGAUUUCUAGGAGUAUCAAUCCAGCAAAUUUAAUUGGCAAGAAAUACUGCCUUUUCAUCUUUGAACCAACAAUGCCGGGGAAUAAAAGGAAGGGUUUGCUCAUCUUAAAACAUGCUCUUCCAAAGGGGUCCCGACUAUGAUUUAUAUAGUUUUUUUUUUUAAAAAAAAAAAAUGCAGCAGAACUUGAUUCCUGAUGUAUAUAUUAACUCACAAAAAGGAAAAAAAAAUGAAGAAAGGAACUGGAAGUACCAGUUUGUUGGGUAACCACCCGCCACAUAAUUCAUAUAUUUGACAAAGGGUUGAUAGUAGUGGAGUGAAAAUAGCAAAAUUCAUAAGCAGUACCAGUAUUUUCCAUCCAGACAACCUCUCGAUGACUAGUAAUUUUCAUUUGUUGCAGCUGCCACAACGUGAGGUAACCCAAAUUUGUGUUGUGUUGUCGAGGCAGGCCUAUUCUUCCUAAAAGGACAAACAGAUGAAUUGAAGGGUCAUAUGGAUAUGCUCCCUCAAGUUUGAAUUCGACGAAGAAAUCAAAUUUAACAAUGUCAAGAAAAUGACGUUCAAUUGGCAUUCAGAACCUGCGAAGGUGAUGCGUUGUCUUAGCACAUUUUCACUUUGUGAUUUCUACCAAAAAGAAAAGAGGGUGAAAUAAGUAUGUGAAUAUGGUUUCAAAGAAAAGUAGAACAGAUCAUCCACUGGAGAAACAUUGGUUUCCAUUUUGUCUGGUCAUACAACGAAUGCUCUCUUUUUUUUUUUUAAAACAAAAAAAAGGGAAGAAAAGAAAACAUGUCAAAGAAUCCAGUUUAGCAAAUAACAUCUCAUACAUUCCCUCAAAAAACUAACAGUCGUUUUUCACUGAAAUUAUAAUUUGUUAAAUAUGGUAACCUACGAUAUCAGAUAAAACAGCGGUAAUUAAUAUGCACUGGACGAUUGAAUUAUUUCUGUUGAUAAAAUGUUCAUUUACAUCGCACCUUCUAUCUUUCUUUUGGUUUCCUUUUGAAUUCUCUAUCAAUGAAAUAUCCCAGUCUGCCUUAGGAAAAAAUAAAUAAAUAAAGACAAGUGCUCAAGCUAUUACCGUAACGUUACAUGGCAUCAAGUCAUGUGACAUAGUCUGAUAUCAUAUGAUGUCAAAUUCAUAAGUUGGACACUUUGUGAUUCCGGGAUUCUCUAUAUUCUUUUCUCUCUGUCCUCAAGCUAGCUAGACAGGUAAUGGUGAGAUUCAUUUCUAGAGUUAUUUUUCAUGUACUUUCCUUGCUAAUUAAGUACUUACUACAUAGUCUGUGAAGAAUCUCGCAUUAUUAUUAAGGCGCUUAUAACUGGCUAAUGCGUCAUCGAGUGCGGGUUAGACGUGGAAGUCCAAAAUUGACGCAACCAACAAAUAGAUUAACAUUAAGCAGUCAAAUGUUGUCGGGCUACGAAUUCAGUGCCUUCUUGCGUUAACGGAGUGUUUGUGUAGUAGUGCAUGAUGCUUUCAUAAUUCCGAUGGAUAUACCAAUACAGAAAUUGCAGCUGGCGGAGGCGGUUCAGUUCUUCUAGUCAUCUGUUUAUUUUGGCGCCCCAGAACCUUGGGCCUCUUCUACGCCUAAAAAUGCGUUUGUUGUCGAUUAAGUAGCAGCUAAGAUCGAAAAAUGAAUCAAAUUAUUGGAUACUCGAAUUGUUUGUUUUAAUUUAAUUCACUAACUAAUCAAAUCAAACUCGAUAAAAAAAAAAAAAAAAAAGACCCAUUCAAACUCGAUUCAGUAGAUAAACAAACCAAACCUAAACUCUAAACUCGUUAAAAUAAUCAAAUUAGGAUAUUUGGAUUGAUUAAAUUCGUUUAAAACCCUAAUAGCAACUGAUCGAUGUACAACGUCUUUACCUGUUAGGUUUUCCUAACUCCAUGUGUGCUGUAACCCUACAAAUUUUUUAUUAUAUACGAGAAGACAUACAAAAUAAUUUACUGGCUAUAUCAAGUUUCACUAAUAUUAUUGACACAAUAAUAUGGUGAGCCAUUGAUGUUAUCAAGUUUUAUUAAUAUUAUUGCCACCAUAUGGUGAAACGUUGUUGUAAAAUGAAUUGCCACUCAUAACUAGUACAGCGUGCAUUGCAAUAUAUUUACUUCCAACUUUCUCCGGUGCCUUGCGGAUCCUCCAAUAUACAAGAAAGUUAAGGAGGUUUGCAUAAGAAUAUGUGAUGUCUACGUGCGCUUACCACCAACAACCAACCGUAAAUAAACGCGCACACGCACAUACUAUCUAAGGGAAACCCACGACCCAACUCAAAAGGCAUGCUGACUUUCAGGUCACACUGAGGACCUUAAGCAGUAAUAACUUUUGCCUUGAUCUAGGACGAACAACAAAAGAAAUAAAUUUUCUUACAUUAGCUACAUAUACACUAAUAGGUAUGAACGCAUGUCACUUGAUAUCAAUUUAAAUUUAAACAUGUGACAUACAUUUAAACCCGUUAAUAUAUAUAUAUAUAUAUAUAUAUAUAUAUAUAUAUAUAUAUAUAUAUAUAUUAUCGGGGUAAAAUUAUUAAUUCAACAUAAAUACACAAGAUUCACAACGAAAAAAAAUAAUAGUGAUUGUGUAAUGCACAGAAAGUAUACUAGUGAUUGUGUAAGAAUUUGUAGAAGAGUUUUGAAAUGCUUCCUUUCAUAACGAAAAAGAAAAGAGAAUCUUUAUCCGUCAAAAAUUCUUUUUCAUAAUUAUGUUUUACUUCAUAUCCAUUUCACAACAAAAUAUGCAUAGCCUGAAUUCAUAUUCCCAGACAGAACAAAAGGAAAAAAGAUGGCAGACUAGGGCAACUUUCGAACCGUUUCCUUUGCAGAAAACGUGUGCAAUUACCCAUUACCCUUUACUAUAUAUCGCCAUAGUCAUUUUUAUCCACAAGAUUGUUGUAUCAACUUUAAAACAAGUAAAUAUAUAGUACUAUUUAUAAUUUAGGUUGUUAAUCUGUUUUCAAAUAUUAAAGUAAAUGAGUUCAUAUUGCUGUAAAUUUUUUUCCCCCUAAUCCAACGAAACCGGAUAUAUAUACACACACACAUACACAUUUAUAUAUAUAUGGUAACUUAAAUUGAAGGCAUAACCAAUUAUGUAGGUCGGUGAUUUUCAUGUGCUUUGACAUCUUCUCUGCACACCAGGCUAGUCUCUCCACAGAAACAGGCGCAUUUAUGCAAACGGUUUAAUUCAUCCUCAAGCUGUCUAAAAUUGAAUAAAUAAAUGGUUUGAAUAAAUCAACGGAUUCCAGGCUUUAUGCAUUUGGCGUUUUUCCUUUUUUUUUCCCCUCCAUCUCUGCUUUAAUUGUUUUUCUUUUUCUUGUACUCUUUAUUUGUGCUUUUGCCAUCACUUUGGUGAAGCAAAGUUACAAGAGAACUGACUGUUCCUGUAUAAUUUUCAAAAGCAGAAAGUUACAUCGAGUGAUAUUUGUGAUAGAUCUGGUUUGCGUCUCUAAUUCAUUCUGCUAUAAAGAGGAAGCUUUAUUUUAGCUAAAGUUCUAGACUCUAAAGACAUCAACUUAUCUAGGUUUCCAAAAAAGUAUCCAAGUGAUGAUGCUCAAAGUGGUCCUUAGCAUCGAAAUGCAUGCACAAAUUCAGUUCUUGGAAGUAAAAUACUACAUGCAAUCAAGAUAAAGCAAGUUAAACCAAUGCCAACCAAAUUCCAAACCAGUUCUUUCGAAAAAGGGUUCAUAUGUAAUAUAUGGUUCAGAAUUUAUUGCUAAAAGGGAAAAAAUAGAGAAUCGAAAAGAAGAGGUUGCCAAGUUAUAGGUGCCGGCGGCAAAACAGUAAACUUCUACGGAUGGAAACAUAACUGGCUAGAAGAAAAUGAAGUCCAAAUCCGCGAAUUGGGAUAACGAUCGAUGCUGGGCAUAGAAUGGAAUAAGAGUAUGGCACAAUAAUUAUUCUCCAUAUAUCUGUGGCUGCUAUGGUGAUUUGAAGUCUUUAUUUGGAAGAAUCCUUGAGGGUACUAGGUUCGAGAUUAAGAAGAAUGUUUUUUGUAUGUGUUUAGAUUGUAAAUUAUUUGAGAAAUUUUACUGUAGCACUUUUUGUGAUGUGGUGAUGUAUGUGAGAUAAAAAGAUAAUUAUUGGGAAGAUAAAAUGAUAUAUUAAAAAUUGUAAUUGUGAUGUAAGCAAAUAUAUUUGACCAAAUAAUCUGCUGUCCAAACCCAGGGGAAUCUUGGUGGCUAUACUGGAAUAUUUCGUAUCAUUUUAGUAGUGGCCUUGCCUUUUUCCUUUUUUUCUUCUUUUUUUUUUAAUACUCUGAGCAACUAUUCAAGUGCAAACCCCUUUGAAAUUGCUCUUUUUGUUUUUUCUUCUUGACCACUAAAAAAUAAUAGGGGAAAGCUAGCUGGGUCUCGACUAAAGCAACACUUUUAUGUGUGCUUUGUAGUGGUGUUUCCACAACCGUCCACUCUUUUGCAAAGGAAAUGUGACGUUUAAGCAUUUUAGUUUCAUCGAACUAAGUUGUAGUUGCAGGUGACUUGCUUUGUUGACUUGUUUCAAUUGCCGAGACGGAUGCAUUCUUUUUUUGGAGUCGGAAUUAGACUCAUUGGGAGCAUGAGUUUUGGUUAUUGUCCUUUCUUGUUUGAUUUUUUGAGGGACAAGAUAUAACACUACUUUCAUUCCCAUCAAAUGAUUCCCAUAACAGCUUACCAAACAAUAGGUAUUCUUCUCAUUAAUUUUAAUAUCCAAUCAUGACCAACGUUAUCUUAUACUCCAUUUUUUGGAAGCUUAUUCCCCUCUGAAUCAAUACUAAACAAGUUAUAGAGUAUUUUUCUACACCACCACAUGUAUUUUGUCAUUUUUAUUGGUUUCCUAAGUCAAGAAAUCUUGGAAGCAAAGUCCUGUGAAGAGACAACUAAGCCGACUGGACGUCGGACGUCUAAUCCGACAGAAUUCUUCCAAGUGCAUCCUCUUGAAUGACAACAGAUACAAUGAAUCCAUACCCAAUACUAUUCACUGUUCUAAAAUUGUCCAAUAUCAAAUUAUUGUAGUGUUUGGGUCACAAUGCUUAUCACUGUAAAAAAGAAAAAAAAAAUCCAAUUCUCCAGAAACUACUUUGUUAAUGCUUUUAUUGCUGUCCGCUUGACUAUCAGGCAAAAGUACACGCCUCGUCCCUUUUGAUCGGAUACUAAGUGCUUAUAAAAGCUGAGGAUGAUGAUUUUACCUUCUUAAACUGUUAUCACGUCAAAAGAGGAAGAAACAAGAAGAGAGAGAGAGAGGCUAUGGGGGGUGGUUAAAGUGGUAUAGUAUUUUGAAGUUGUCGAUUCUUCACCCUUAAGUAGUUGGACAAUUUAUCAGAACUGGCAAUUUGUGUUGUUGAGAGUUUCAUGGUAUAAUUUGUAGUAUUUUGUAUCAUUCGUCAUUCGUAGAACUUCAUCAAGAAUUGAAGUAGAACCGAAAGUGGAAGGUGAAGCUUAGCGAUUGGUUCGUGCUGAUCAUCACUCUUUUAACCUGUCACACUAACUCGAAAUAGUGCCACGAUUUUGUCAUUUCCAAUCAUGAACUGUCAAAAAUUAUGUGGAUACUCGGCAAAUGUGAUUUACCUAAAACCAAACGUUAAAAGCAACCUUUUACCAAACUCUUGAUCACUCAGGCGGGUCCUAAUCGAUCGCUGCUUAGCACACAAAGCACCAACGCAUUUGCCAAUGGUUUCUGGUAAAUGUGGGAAAGAGAUUUGGGUGCCAGAUGUUAGCGGGAAGGGAUCACACCCUUACCAUGCAAUGACUUGUUAGCAAAAUUUCUGAUUGAUUAAUUUGUUUUAGAAUACCUGUCCGAUUUCUGGGUCCAGAAACAAAUGAACUGAUUCAUGUGUAUCUCCCAAUUCGAUUUCAACACGUGAACACAGUUAUUAACCUAUGAUCUUUUACGUCAGAGUUGGGUAAUGAAGGUCUUUCAAUGGAUUCUUGAUGGGCUUUGUGGAAUAUUUUACUUCAAAGAAAAAGAAAGGAGAGAUCCCGAUAACGCACCACCUAUAUGAAUAUAGGCAAUCAGGAUACACACAUAUACGUAUUUUUUUUUGGGGAACACAUAUAUAUAUAUAUAUAUAUAUAGGCAGGCCAUAGCUGAGGUUUGUUGACCCAGAAGUAUGGAAGAUAAACACUUCUUGUUAUUAUAUAGACUAAUAAUAUAAGCAUUGUUUAGAAAGUGGACUAAGAUUUUUAUUGGAUGCUUGUUAACGUCAAUAGCGCGGUUCAUAUCCAAGAAUCAAGACUUCAAUUCAAUGUUUUUUUUUUGUAUCACAAGAUUAGGUAGAAAUGAUCGACAAACUGCUACGUGGAGCUUCUAGCUUUACAACUUGUUGGAACACUAACCUUGUUUGGAUUGCUGUUUUUCGUCAAAAAAUUACAUCGUUUUCCGUGAUCACAUUUUCCUAUUAUCUUUUUCCCUGACAUACAUCAAAUCGCUACAAUAAUUUUUCCAUGAAAAAUACAAUCCAAACACAACAUAAAUUAUUAAUAAGAUUGAUUUUCAUGCGCUCGAACUACAGGAUUCACUAAAUUUAAAAGAAAUAAACUUCUUAAUUUUCAAUAAAAAAAAAAGUUUCAUUUUAGAGUCAGCUAUCCGACGAGCUAAAUUAGAAGUUUCAAUGCCGGAUACAAUAAGGCAGUGGGAGUUCAGAAUAAAGGUUCUAAUUAGUAAGGCAUUAUUAUCAUUAGGCUCUGGUCAAACCAAGAAGCCCCUUUUGACAUGUCACUUGAAAGCAAAAAAUGUCAAUGCAAGAGCGCACCCACGUAAACAGACUGAAUUUAUACCACUGUGUAGUAUUUGCUUUUUCCUUCCGGCAUAAUCCUCAAAUUCCUUUUCAAGUUGAUAUAACAAAUAUUUUCUCAAUUAUACCUAAGCUGUACAAGAUUUAAAUCUUGUGUCUAUAUCUUUAAAAAUAUAUAUAUAUAUACAUUAGAGGACCUAAUGCCAGCCUUGUAGAACGGACAGUUGACCAAGAAGUUGUGAUCCUAGUGAAGCAAAGUGGUAUUCAUUUAGGCAAAGCCCUUUGGGCUUUGGGUCACUGUCGUGUACGACUCCAACCCGUGAAACACAUGAUGAUCAUUGACAAUGAAAACAAUCCAUCCACUACAAUUAAUUAAGGAUUCCAAUAGCUUGGCCUGGAAGAGUUCAAAAUGUAUUCAACUUCGUAUUCACGUUCAUGCACUCAUCUUAAAAGAGGUCUAAUCCAGUACAAAAUGUGGCAGUAAUUGGACUGUGCGAAACGUGUUAAGUGCAAAAAUGUAUUUCGAUGUGACAAUAGUAUAGUAAUGUUGAUGUACUCAUCAAAAUGAGGCCGAACUGCUACUGAUCCCUGCCCAAGAAGAAAGGAAAAGGAGUGUUCCAAUCUUUUUUUCUUUCUUUAAACAAAAGUCUAAUCUCGACUUUGACAUUUACAUACAAAUAUCCAACCACAAAUUACUCUGACCUGUUGAAAUACAAAAAAAAAAAAAAAAAUCAUAAAUUCACAAUAAAAAUUGCAUUUGAGAUACGUGGAAAAUUUUAAUUUUUCACACCUAAAAUAUCUGGAAAAAAAUUGGGAAGAGGGUUGGAUUAAAUGAUAAGAUGGAAGAAAUUAUAACUAGGAGAUAUUCAAAGAAGCUCUCUUGGAAAGAGAAAAGUAAAACCUCACGAUUUUUUGUAUUGAUUAAAAACUGCCUAUGAAGGUCUCUUGCCUUGGCUAUAUAUAGCCAUACAUUUGACAACCUAAAGUGAAUUGGAUUUACUUAACUAGACCUAAAAUGGUUUGGAAAACCCUAACUUCGGCUAGGCUAGGCCUUUUGGGCCGAUUCUACUCAUCCAAUUACUAACUAAUGUUCGGCCAAGACAAAAGAAUCUUUCUCAAGUUAUUCAAGUGAACUUAUCAAUCAAGUAAUUCCUUGGUUGUGCCUAUAGUUCGGUUCGCUAAUUCGUUAAGUAGCGGGUUGAGAUAGUAUCAAUAUUGUUCGCUACUUCGAGGAUUAGAUUGGGUCAAAUUUCCGCUGCCAAAAGUUUCAAGUUGAUCCGAUCACAAGAGCUCGUGCCAAGAAAAUGCGCGAAUCCCUUUAAGCUCUUGUAUGCACUAUCCAAGAGAGAGUUGGAAAUGAUUUGAAGAUUAUUGAAAGCUUGGAAAAUGAAGAUUCAACAAUAUAUACACUUUACUCCAAGUUGAAGAGUCAAGAGAAGACUAGUUGUUUAGAAGAUCGAGGGCAAUUUAGUCAUUUAGCCACUAUAUUCGUUAUUUAAUUUUGUUAAUAAAGUCUGCCAACAAAUCAUUUUUUCUUGGCCGAACAUUACAUGCUCACAGCCAAUCACCGACACCCAAUUUUGGAGCAUGAAAAAUCUUCAUGGACUGAUGUGAUCUACAAUUAGACACGAUCUAGACGCCAUUUACUAAAAUAGAUAUAUUUACAUGAAACAAAUCAAUGCGUCGCACCUAAGUCUAGGGCUUUUAGGGCCACGCUUGAUGAGGCCCGUUAUUUUGUAAUCCGCUGACCACUUGGUACUGGUAAUUUUGUAUAGAGGGCGACAGUUCCACUUGGUACUGGUAAUUUUUUUUUCAAAAAAAAAAAAAAAUUGGAUGGAGAUUUAUGCGGAUACGUUAAUUAGUGAACGUUCACAGCGUAGAACUUUUUCUCUCUCUUUUUCCAUUAGACUGUCAAAAGGGAUACGGAUAGGCGAAGUAAUUGUUCUUUCCGAAUUCAUGACACCGAUGGCAUCCAUUUUCGCCCCUAAUACCCUCGAUCUAUUUCAAAGGGCAUAAGGUCGGGUAAGUCACGUCACGUCCUGUCCUCUGAUUUGCACCGAGAAGCAUUUUGGAAGUGCAACUUCAGCAGCAUUAUGCUACUUAUGUCACAAGUACGACACAUCUCACAUUUUGAUAUCACAAGGCAAGAACAUUUUCUAAGAUUCAUAAUAAUAAAUUACUGCUCAAAUUCAAUCGUUCAAUCAAUUACUACUACAAUUGUCUGUAGACAAAAAUAAAUAAAUGUCUGCACAGUCCCAGCAGGUACCAAAUUCAAUUACCAAUGUAGAAGAAUCAGACUGAGAUCCUCCUAAAAGUUUGUGCCCCCGACAGAGGCCAGCGCAGGCUCAGGCUGCAUAUAAUAACAUUUGGAGGAGUUGAGGCUUUGGGCAUAGAAGCCAGACAGGAGCACGCGGGCUCGGCCGAGUUCAGCCUUUGAUCAAUUGGGUUCACUUUUCUCCAGGGCUGUCUAGCCAUAGCCCAGAACAAACGGGGAAGGGGAAUGGGAAUCCGAAUCCGAAUCCAAUCCCCCAAUGGGAUACAAAUACACAGCUGCAAGUUUUCAGAUCACAUGCACAUGCUAAUGGAAUAAUAUACUAGCAUGUUUCCCAUGCCUGGAGCCCCAUAAAUGGAAUAUACGGCUUUAAUGUUGUUGCCAUGGCCGUGGGCAGAAGAAACCCAGGUGGAUAUUGCUGUCUUUCCGGUUACCAGUUACCGCCCAAAAAAAUGAAGAAGAAGAAGAAGAAGAUGCCAAGGAAAUGAAGAAAAAUGUUGGUUGGUCCUUUAUUUUUGUUUUCCCACACAAUUGGAAAUUUACAUUAUUGAUGCAUUGUAGAGAAUUUUCUGAGGCAACCAUUUUUUACUGUCUAUGAAGUGAAAGAAACGAAAAUUAAUGAUGAGGCUGUGUUGAUAUAAUGGGAAAAUAUAUCUGCACGUUAAAGGAUGCCAAAAAUGUUGAAGACCACUAAAGAUAUGCGGCAUUUUUAGUUGUUUAAUAAAAAAGCUAGGUUCCCUUGGUAUUGGUCUUUAUUGAAACCCACCCCCCCCCCCCCCCCAAGCCCCAACAAAAAAAAAAAAAAAGAAAGAAAGAAUUUAAGGAAUAUCUUUCGACAGGAAGAUUUCAUCAAUCAAGCAUACAAUUUUUUUAUAAAAAAAAAAAAAAAAUUCAAGUCCAGCUCCAAAAAUUUGAUUUCUGCCUAUGGUUGUGCUAAAUUAGCAAUACAUACAAUUUACAAGGGCUCAUAUGCGAAUGAAAGAAAUGAAGUGGAGGAUCAUCUGAUUUGUCAGGAGAGGGGUGGUGGGGUACCCUACCGUGGAAAAUAAAAACAUAUGGACGCAGCAGAUUAGAUAAACGCAUUUUUGAUAUUGUUGAAAAGCGGGGGACCCUAUGUAUAAGAGGACAAAAUGGGCGCAGCGUACCAAAGCAAAGCAGAAAACUGAAAAAGAAGAAAGCGAAGGCAGAGAUGGGGUGGGGAGGUGGUGACUCAUCGAGCCUCCCUAAAGUCCUGAGCUCCCUAUUGAUUGCGACUGAUUGGACUUGUUGCUUUUGUUUUCUUUCUUCUUUCUCUUUCCUUUCCUCCGCCCCCUUGUUAUGUUAUGUUAUAUGUCUAUGACAUUUCUCUUUCAAUCCCAUUUCCAAGUUACCUACCCAAACCCCAAAAAGGCAUCUGAUCCUCAUUUUCUCAUGUUUGUACUACAUGCCCCAUUUCCAAGUUACAUACUUAACCCAAACCCAAUAUGAAAUCUCUCGUUUUCUCGCACUUGUACUAUCGUACUACAUUUCAAAACAAUUGGCUUCACUUGGAUGGGAAAAUUAUUUGGAAAAAAUAUCACUAAGAACAAGUGCUUUUAUGAUUUAUAAUGUGACGUAAACGGGAUAAAAAUAUUACUAUAUUUAUAUUACAGGCAGUAUAGUAAAUCUUGAUAACCAAACAAACCCUUAAUUAUUUGGGAGAAAUUUUCUCUAUUAUAUGUGCGUAGAAGUGCUUGAAUAAAUAAGAAAGGUGGUGCAAAAAUGUGUUUAAAAAAAUUUAAAAAAAUGUAUUUAUGAUACAAAUAAAUGAGUUGAGUUUGUUCAAUUAAUGGAUAUUCAAACAAGCUCAUAAAUCUAUUCAUAUGUAGCGGGGUCUAAUAUAAGUUCAUGCCACUUUGAUUGCGCAGUUCAAAUUUUAGGAUUUUGUUUUGGUGUGUUAUUUUUAGUAUUUUUUUCCUAGGAGAUGAUAACAAGUGUAUAACUUAUUCUAUCAUAAACUAGAGGGGAGGGAGAGUCUAAAGAUAUUUGUGUUAAGAGCUAACAGAUACGCAGAACUUAUUAGAUCAAAUGGAUGCUUUGUUCGGGUUUAUUUGGACAGCUGAUUAUUUUCCCAAACAUAUUUGCUUACAUCAUCAUUACAAUUUCCAAUACACCUUUUUAUCUUUCCAAUUAUCUUUUUAUCUCACAUACAUCAUAUCACAAAAAGUAUUACAAUAAAAAAAUCUCAAAUAAUUUACAAUCCAAACAAAUAUAUAAUUCUUGAAUUUUUUUCGAUGCAGAUGAAAUUUGAACCCCCCACCUAACCUACAACACAAUGAGAGAUUUAUGACCCUCCUUGGUGGUCGUGAUUAAUGUUUAUUUUUAGUAAUCAAUAUAUAACAAUUAUGAAUGAUGAGCACACAUGUUUAGAGAGCGCUCUGAAAUUGGCUGAACCCCUCGUGGCCCUCGAUUGUUCUUUCUUUCAAUUGCACGCUCAAAAAGAUUUGUCUACCUGGGGCAAGGAGACUUUCAAUUUUCGCAAGGCUAUUCAUUCAUACUUCUAAAUUUCUAACACUUUUUUUGGUGCAUGGAUUUGAUUUACUCCAUACAGUUUCUUUUCUUCUUUUCCUUUUAUUUGGUGUUCAAUCAACGCACAGGAGUAAUGGCGAAAGAUACUACUACUUUGGUUUCUUUUGUUGAAAGCCGGUGGACUUUACAUCAAUCAACACUAACUUCCCUGCAGGGAUUGCACCCGCUUUCCUACCAUAAUCUGCGAAGCAGACCGACUACAUUCAGGCAAUGACUCCAAGAUUUUUAUCGCGUAGCCCAAAAUUUGCCGGCAAUGGACCAAUUUAUUUAUACCAACUUUUCGCCCAUCGUAAAGCAAGAGAAUGUUAUCAAAACUGAUCAGGGAAAAGCAGUGGGUUCAUUCACCACAAACAAAAAGCAAAAAGAAGAGGGAAAAAUCAAAAAAGGAGUUGGGGUUGGCAAAAAUAAAAGGGAUAAUUUCAUAAACCUCCUUUGAGAUUACUGAUAUUUUCACAUAGCUCCUCUCAGGUUUAGAAAAUUACACCAACCUCCCUUGAUGCAGUGAAAUGACAAGAAUGUCCUUCAUUAAAUAGAUAAUCUAUACUAUGGGCCUGUUUGGAAUCUGAGUUUUUUCGGAAUUUGUUUAAAACUUUACUGUAGUGUAUCGUAGAAGUUUUUGGAAAAAUUUUUUAAGAUGAAAAAAUUUUUUAAGUUUUUUUAAGAAGUUUUUUGGAAGUUUUUUUCCUUUUCUUUUUUUUUCUUUUCCUUUUUUUUCUUUUUCUUUUUCACUUUUUUUUUUCUUUUCUUUCCUCUCUUCUUCUUCUUCCUCUUCCUUCCCACUCCCCAUUCCCUCUCCCGUUACUUCUGCGUUGCUUUCCCAGCAGCAAUGGUCACCAUUUUUUGUCCUUUCUUUUUCUUUUUCUCUUUCUUUUUCUUUCUUUCUUUUUUCUUUUCCUUCCUCCCUUCCCCCUCCCCCUCAAAAACUCCUGUGCCCACAGCUUCUCCCGCCAGCCCUCAUGCAUCCCCGUUUCCUUCUCCAUCUCCAAAGAUUCCUCCAACAAUACCUGCGGCUUCUCCCUGGUGAAUGCUCCAGCAGUGUCACCGCCUGCAUCAUCUCUAACCGGAAGCCCGGCGAGUUCUCCAGUUCCAGCCACUGCAGAGGUUCCAUCCGCCGGUGCCAGUGUUCCUUCCACUUCUGCGACACCGGCAAAGUUGCCGGCGAUGUUCCCUUCUAGCAGAAACCUGCCAAGUUGCUCACCGGCUGGGACGAGUUUGGCAUCGGAAACUUCGCAAGGCCCAGUUGCUGAUGAAUCGAUGCUACCUCCAUUCAUGGAGGGCCUAAUUGUUCUUGCUGGGCACUGGAAGAGGUGAUGACAGAGGUGGUAGUGACGGAGGAAGAGGAAGAAAAAGGGGAGAUAGGGGAGGAGGUGGUGGUGGGUUGGAGUGGGUGACGGAGGUGGUGGUGGAGGUGGUGAUGGGUUGGAGUGGGUAACGGAGGUAGAAGAAAAAGGGGAGGGAAUUUUUUUUUGUGUGUUUUGGGUAUUUUAAAGUGUGUAGGUAAAAAACUUUGUGAAGUUUUUUGGGGUUCCUGUAGCAAAAAUUGUUAAAAAACUUGUAGGAAACAAAUUUGCUAAAAACUUGCACUUCCAAACAGGGCCCAUGUGAUUAAACAAAAUGGUGAAACGAACAAAAAAAAUUGUUACUACUACUAAAUUAUUUUUUUCCUUUUUUGUUUUCACAAUUUUAAUAGAAGGGUAGUUUAGGAUUAUUGGAAAAGAAUCUAGGUUAUUGGGCCUAAAUGGUAAAAGUAAUGACAGUAAGUGUAAUUUUGAAUACUUGAGGGGAGCUAUCUAUAAUUAAUAAAAACUUUGGGGGAGGUUUCUGGAAUUAUCCCAAAAAAAUUUAUAAACUUGAAUGAGGAUCUUUUCUUCCUGCAGUAUAUGAAUAUCCACCUCCACUUGAGGUCUUGAAGCCCUUCUUGUCAAAAGAAGGUCUUUGAAGCCUCUUAAGCACGGUACACGCACCUUCAGUUUACUUUGACCCACAACUACAAGUCUGGCAUCGUCCAAGUGUAAAACCAUCCCAAAUUUUGCCUAAAAUUGUAACCAUAAUAUUGGCGACCUCCAAUCCCCCUGCGCUUGGGAGCGGUGCCCGCUUCCAAGUGGUACAGCAUGCUCAUAAUUUAUGGUACUAUAAUAGUUCAGCUUGAAUUACGUUUCGUAGUAAUAUUUUGAAAUUUUAACAACGCAUUCUUCAUGCAAAGGGCUGCGGGUACGGUGGUGAAGAAGCGCAGAGCUUCCCCGAGGAGAGCUGACCUGAUCAGCUCGGGGUGUCGAUGGGAGGGCUGAUCCAAGACCUGCAAAACAGAGAGGAUGAGCCAAGAGAGGGGGCCCGAGGGUUGUCCCCGAGGGCGCUCCGACGGCCAAGUUAGUUUUCCGGUGAGUAAGGUUCACGGGAAGCAGCAACUGUCCAGAGUAAAUUGUCAAUAGUCAGCGUACCUUGUACAGUGGAUGUGUGUUACUAUUUGUACCUGCAAGGGAGUCCGACCCCCGCACGACGCGGGACUUGCCCAGUAUAGAUAGCAUCCCGCACUCAGGGGGAUUACUCCCGACCUCCUCGGGACGGACCCUCGCCUCCCCUGGGAGCCCUAGCCGGUGCAGCCCAGGGCUGCUGCCAGGAGUCUGGGGGCCAAGGCCCAGCUCGGUUCCUCCUGGGCUGCCGCGUGUCCGGGCCCAGAACGGGGCCUCUGCACUAGCCCCCUAGAUUAGGUAGGACUGUCAGGCAGACCUAAUCUAUCUCCGCCACGUGGGAGGCCAGAACCGCGCACUACCCUGCCGAGGUCACCUCUGGUACAGUGCUGUCAUAGGGACGCUGCUCCCACGUCCUUUCAGCUGUCCCGCCCCUUCGGUUUUCGCGCCCGCAUUAAGUGCGUCCACAUGGGGGUCGCUUCAAAUUCAUGCAACCGUUUUCCCUCCACUCUUCCCCCUAUAAAUAGGGGAUGCCAAAUACUCAUCUGUCCCAUUUGCCAUUUCCGCCCCUUCUUGUGCAUUUCAAGUUAUCACUCUCCUUGUGCACCCACAUUUCCAUUUUCCAGCAACCUCCGGCGUCCUGUGCCCAGAUUCCGACGAGCCUUCAGUCCUUCUUCUGCCGUCAUCAGUAAGUCCUUUUUGCGAUUCAUCUUCCCCCUUUGCGGUGUCUCUUUUGCCCUCUGCUACCUCCCACUUUUUAUGUCGGAGCAUUCCUCCUCCUCUGUUGCCGUAGUAUCAAUCCGCCGCCGAGCUCCCCGAAUCACCGUUCUUUCCUCGCCUUCACCCUCAUCUUCGUUACCAUCUUCUCCUCCUCCCCCUUCCCCUUCUUCUGCUUCUAGUCCCAGCUUCCACACCUCAGAUCUACUUGAGCCUACCGAUACCAUGAGUUCUCCGUCUGCCCACUCCCCUUCGGCGCAAGCCCUUGAGGAGGCAGCCGAGCUCGACGCGCUCAUCGCGCGGCAGGCUACCUCCACUCCCUCCCCCAAAUCCCCCCAUGAUUCCCCUGGCGGAGCCGAGGAGGGUGCCAGGGAGGAUAGGGACUCAUCGGGUGGGUCCCCUGCUCCCGAGCAGGGGAACGAUCCUGAAUUCUUCUAUGGCUAUCCCGAUCUGCAGGAGGCCACCCUCUCUCCCCAGGAUCUGGCCGAGCUGGCUAGGUCGUACUCCAUCCCUCCAGCCUACGAACCGAGGUUGGCCGGGCCCGACGACCGGGCCUGCCGGCCUCCCCCUGGCUUCGUAGCCAUCUAUAGGGAGCAGCUCAUCGCAGGGCUCCGUCUCCCCAUCCAUCCAGCUCUAACCGAGAUUCUGAACCACUGGGGGCUCAGAAUCACACAGCUCCAUCCCACCUCUAUCAGGAUCAUCACCGGAUUCCUGAUCUACUGCCUUCUCUGCGACAUCCCCUACUCUCUCUCCCUCUUCCGAGCUGCCUUCAUUCUUAAGGCCGCCCUCCCGGGGUGGUACUACUUCUCCCGCCGUGGCCCCCAGACCAAGGGGGGAAAAGGGGCCCAGGAGUUGUUCUACGGGCUCCCCUCGUCCGUGAAGGACUGGAAGGAGGACUUCUUCUUUGUCAGGUCCACACACUUUCCCCCCAAUGUGUGGAAGGUUGGGGGAGUCAAGGCCGACCCCUACCCGAAGGACCUGGACUACGAGACCCUCGGCCAGCUGUUAGGUUCCAAGGUGAAUCUCGAUGUCACUAAGAUCUCCACUGAGCAGAUCUCCGCAGCCGGGCUGAUGGGGACGGUGUCCGGAUCCUCGGGGGAGGUGGCUACCCCCCAGCCCAAACUCGACACCUGUAACGCCGGCCUUGCCCCUGUCGCAUUUGUAGUAUAGGAUUUUCCUUUUUUACCCUUAACUGUCUUGCGUUUGGCUGAUCUGGUGGUGUUUAUUGCAGUGAGAAAGCUCUCCCAACUGCUGGGCGCACCCCUCGAGGAGGUCACUCCCGACCCCCAGCCCGGAGCUGCUCGGGGGGACCCAGGUGAGGCUUCCACCCCGGGGGGCGGCUCAGCCCCCCAGAAGGAGACAUCACAACCAUCCCCCUCCAAGCAGGCCGCCAGCAAAAAGAAGGCGGCCGGAAAGAAGAGGGGCAGAGGGGACGAGCCCUCCCAGGCUGGGCAGAAGAGGCUCGCCCUGGUCUCUGCACAGCCUCCUCCUCUUGCGCGGGUCUCCGGGGGACCAGUCCACCUGGGCGUGGGCUCUGCCGAGAAGCAGGUCCAGGAAUCGACUCCCCCGAGCUUGUGGCACUUCCGCCACAUAGCUCCCCUGAAGCCAGGCCAAGCCCCCACGAUGCAUGACCCCCGCCACUUCUGUCCGUCCUGGAAACUCUCCAUCAACGACCGAGCCCAGUUCCCCGAGGUGGCUCGCGAGGUGAUGGUGGGCUCGGUCCUUCCUAGGGACAGGAAGUGGAUGGAGCUGGCCAGCCCCUCCGAGCUCUUGGACGCGUACUACACCGCCCAGACCCAAGUAAGUAUCACCAAUUGGUUAAUUUCACCCCCGUGUCCGGGUUGAGUGAUGUGGCAUGCUGAUCUGCUUUCUCUCUUUUCCAGUCCAACGCUGCUGGUGCCGCCCUGGCUACCCGCUUCUCCGAGCUGUCCCCCGACCUGGAGAAGUUGCGGAAGAAGAACCUGGAGGCGGAGAGGAAGCUUUCCCAGGCCCUCCAGGAGGCCAACUCCCUUAAGGCCAAAUUAGACAGGGCCGAGAAGGAGAUGGACGCCGCCCAGGUCCAGCUCGCCUCCACCAGGUCGGAGCUCGACCAGGAGAGGGCAGGUGUGGCCAGGCUGAAGGAGGAGCAUGCCAUAGAGCUCUCCGGCACCGUCAGCCGAGAGCGGAAGAAGGCUGUUCGGGAGUUCAUCUCCUCCGAUCAGUUCGAGGUGGACAUCGCCCUCCUCAACCAGCCCAUCCUCCAGGUUGGCUCUACGCGGGCCCUGACCCAAGUGCAGGGCCUCAACCUACCCGGCUUCAACGUGGCGGACUUCAAGAACUACGACCCCGCGGCCGAGGAUAGGCUGGACUGGCUCUUUGAUGGGUACCGGAAGGGGCACGCUCUGAAGAGCCUGAUCCGCCGAACCGACGUAGGAGCGGAUCUAGAGGAGGUUCCCCUGGAGGAGGACGGGUCUCCGGGCAGAGCUGCCGGGAAAGAGCCGGUGGCCUAGGGCGGUAGCCACUCCAGAAACCCUUUCUGUCUUUUUGUAAGGAUGUGACCAUGCUCCAGUUAAAAAUGCUCUUGGAGGUCCAUCCAGAACGGAAGGGGUUUCCUGCUUCCGGGCUCCUGAAUAGCCUUCACCAUACGCCUCUCAACAUGCUUAAGAUGUACUUUCAGCUUCCACCCCGGUCAGGCCGCCAGCAGGUAGAACAGACAUCGAAGGAGAUUACCAGCUCGGAAAUUUUAUGGUAGAUAGGCAGGGCGCUUUGUAAUAGAUAAGCAGCUCGGAAGCUUUGUAAUAUAUAGGCUUGCAAUGUAUACACAAGAUUUCGAAGAGUUAUUUUCUUCUUUCCUUGCCCACCCGCAAUGCUAUGUGCCGACCUCCGGGGUUGAACACCUCACACCUCACCCCUUGGGGCUAAGUGCUUUAAAUAUUAAGCGCGUCCUUGCCGACCUCCUAGGUCGAACAAUUCACCCUUCAUUAAGCGCGUUCGUGCCGACCUCUUGGGUCGAACACUUCACACUCCAGAAUAUCUUAAGCAUUAAGUGCGUUCGUGCCGACCUCUUGGGUCAAACACUUCACACUUCAUUAUAUUUUAAGCAUUAAGUGCGUUCGUGCCGACCUCCUGGGUCAAACACUUCACACUUCACUAAGCGCGUUCGUGCCGACCUCCUGGGUCGAACACUUCACACUUCACCCUACCCCUAGCCCCCCACUAGGACGUUGAGCGAGGGAAUGCUGAAUGUGCUAGUGUAAAGUGCAGGUUUGAAAAUUGUAAAAUGAAACAAGGACAAGUGAAAAUUAAAAUGAGCUGUGAUUGAAUGGGAAAACAAAAACUCGGAUUCCUGAGAACAGGCCACUGAUCACCCUGGUUUAACCUACGCUACAAACAACCGCAAAUUGGAGAAGUGCCAAGUCCGAGGUACUUCAGAUCCAUCCAUCUUAGCUAGCUUGCAAUAGCCAGCGCGGCUCGCCUCAAGGACCUUGUAGGGGCCCUCCCAAUUUGGGUCGAGCUUGUUGGAGCCGUGCACUCGGCUUAUCGAGUUCUUCCUGAGGACGAGGUCUCCCGGAUGGUACUGUAUAGUCUUUACUUUGGCGUUGUGAUAGCGAGCGAGCUGGCUUUUAUACUUAGCCAUUCGAAUAGCCGCUUCCUCCCGCCUGACUUCGAGCAUGUCCAAGUUGCACCUAAGCUCUUCCUCGUUGGACGUUGCCACGAAGUUCUGUAUUCUGGGUGAGAGAAGACCAACCUCCACGGGCACCACCGCCUCUACUCCAUACGUUAGGGAGAACGGGGUCUCGUGAGUAGCCGUCCUGGGCGUAGUGCGGUAAGCCCAGAGGACACUGGGGAGCUCAUCCAGCCAGCUUGAUUGGGCGGACUCCAGUCUAGUCUUCAACCCUUGCAGGACAGUUCGGUUGGCGUUCUCCACCUGACCAUUGGCCUGGGGGUGACCAACCGACGUGAAGUGCUGGUUGAUUCCGAGCUCGGCGCACCAGCUCCGGAAAGGGUUCUCGGCAAACUGGCGGCCGUUGUCAGAUAUCAGGUCAUGCGGAAUCCCAAACCGGCAAACUAUGCUCUUCCAAAAGAAUUUCUGGAUCGCCUUCCCCGAGAUAGAAACCAGGGGCUCCGCUUCCACCCACUUUGUGAAGUAGUCUAUGGCUACCACGAGGUGCUCAUAUCUUCCCGGGGCUCGUGGAAAGGGACCCAGGAGGUCUAUCCCCCAUUGAGCGAAGGGCCAAGGACUGUGAAUGGGGACCAUCUCCCGAGCUGGCUGAUGGCGCAGCGAAGCGUGCACUUGGCAGGCUCGACAUUUUUGGACCAGAUCCGCUGCGUCUCGGAAGACGGAGGGCCAAUAGUAGCCCAAAAGGAGGCACUUCUUAGCCAGCACUCGGGACCCCACAUGGGCCGCACAUAUUCCUUCAUGGACUUCGCGCAGGACAUAAUCACUUUCCUCGGGCGUUACGCACUUUAACCAGGGGGACAGGCACGACCUCCUGUAGAGGGUUCCCCCGGCGUAGGCGUACUUGGCAGCUCGGAGCUGGAUGCGUCGGGCCUCGGCUUUGUUUUCAGGGAGGUCACCCGAGCUGAGGAAGUCAACGAGGGGCGUCAUCCAGGUGGCCGAGCUGUCUAUAGCCAGGACCCGGACCUGAUCGAUACUCUUCUGCUUGAGCACUUCCACCAAUACCUCUUUGCUCAGGUGGGCAAAUGAGGAGGAUGCCAACUUCGAGAGGGCGUCUGCUCGCUUGUUUUGGGACCUUGGCACCCGCUCGAUUUCGAACGUUUCGAACAAGGCCACGGCCUCUCGUACUUUGGCCAGGUACCUUUUCAUAACCUCGUCCUUGGCUUCGUACUCCCCAAGGACUUGAAGGACGACGAGCUGUGAGUCGCUCCUGACCUGGAUCGCGGUUAUUCCCAUCUGGUGGGCUAUCCGCAGUCCUGUGAGCAGGGCCUCGUACUC
rnacentral:lncRNA from 1 species